UCCAACUAACUCCGUGAACUGAAAAACUAAUCUGAAAUACUGUAAUAAAGUAAUAAUAAUAUUGUCCUUGAAUGAAGAGGAGCACUGACUGCUGAAAUCUGUAAUGCUACUACUGCUCUAAAACUCGUACCUCUAUACCUAUGGUGUCAAAUAAAACACCAUAGUGCGAAUGCGUCAGUACGACUGAAUAUACUGAGUAUACGAGUGAGGUAGGCUAAAUGCAAAGGGUUUUAUAUGCAUGAACAAUGCUAACUGAUAUGAACGUGAGAAUACAUACAUACAUAUGUAACUGUAACUAAACUCGUGGUGAUACUGACUACUGAGUCAUAAUACUGACAACAUGAGUUUACUUAUGCUAACUGAGUAUAAGAGUGAGGUAGGCUAAAUGCAAAGGGUUUUAUAUGCAUGAACAAUGCUAACUGAUAUGAACGUGAGAAUACAUACAUACAUAUGUAACUGUAACUAAACUCGUGGUGAUACUGACUACUGAGUCAUAAUACUGACAACAUGAGUUUACUUAUGCUAAGAUACUGAAUGACUGAGUUUACUGAUAUUGAGAUACUGAAUGACUGAGUUUACUGAUAUUGAUAUGUAAUUCACUAAUAAGUGAGGAACUGAUACUGUAUUACUGAAUACUGGGAGACUUAUACUAUAUUACUAAUAAAGGAAUGAUUGUUUCUGAUAGUUCUAAUUAUGAAAAACUAAUUUGAUUGACUGUAAUAACAGUCCUAAAACUGAGCGCGUGAUAACAUGACUACUGAGUAUGAAUACUGAUGGCAUGCAUUUACUAAUAACAUAUCAUAAAUGAUAACUGAAUUCUGAUAAUUGAUAUAUCUGAUAACAUGAGUUUUGAUAACUGAUAGCAUGAAUGACUAUAUCUGAUAGUCCUAAAUCUGAUGGAACUAGCUGAGUUCCAUACUGUAUCUGAGUUGACUGUAUCUGACAGUCCUGAUAUCCUGAAGAACUAUCUGAGUUCUUUUACUGAGACUGAUACUGAAAUGUGGGAAGUAGUUAUCUAACCGACAAGCCCUAAAUAUGCUAUAAUAGCUAAGCUGGGGUCCAAUCUCUCCCUUGAUUGAAGGGGUGUUAAUACCACGCCACUGGUAAGGACAAGCUGUGAGUGACCCUCAUCUGGCAGGUACUCUAAUGAGAAUGGUGGGAACCCUCAUCUGACAGGUUAAGCCACCUUAUCUACCCUCAGCUGACAGGUAUUAAUGUCUCAACCUAUGCUCGCUACAUAGUUCUAGAAUGCAAGGACUGUUUCUAAGAAUCACACCCUCUACUGGCAGGUGAGUUCCCAUCCUUGGGUUCGCUCGGUGCUGAAUCCUACUCCUAACUGAAUGACACUGAACUGAUUAUACUAAACUAAUUUCCUAGUUUAUACUAGAAUUAAGUGAACUAUUACUAAUUGUUCUAUUUAACUGAACUGAACAUAGACUGAGUUUAUUGAGUUCCGAUGACUAGCAGAACACUACUAAAUUCUGUUAACUCACUAAAUGCUACUGAGUUCUGUUAGUUGACUAAGUUUACUAAUGUUUGAACUGAAUACUGAACUAAAUUGUACUGAUACUGAGAUUUACUGAAUUCCAUAGACUGAUGAAAUAUUACUAAGAUUAUGUAUAUUACUGAGUACUGAGUAAAACUGAACUGAUACUGCCUUUACAUAAGUUUUCCUGAGUCAUGAUACUGACUAAAGUCUACUGAACAUGGCUUGACAGAGAGUAUCGUGAAAACAUGACAUGGCUCUAGGCACACAACUAUAUUUUUUGGGUACGAAUACCCCCAGGACUUGAUGGAAGGAAACUGACGCAUAGAAAUCAUCUUGGUCAAGUAGACAUGGCAUAACUUAAGAGACAUGGCAAAAUCUUGGAGCAUGAAGACUAGGUACUUGAUCAUCAUUUAUUCGUUGAGGCACAUUAUCAAACACACGGUAGGAAUAGCUUUAGCAUGGGAAUCAACUUAAGCACAUGGAUAUGGCAUGGAAUCAUCAUUUAGAUCACAAAUAGGUCAAAGUGCUCAAUUCUUCUUCACUUAGGCAUUUUAACAAACACCUUGCAUGCACUAUUUAGGGCAUAGGCCUAAUGAUCAAUUUUAUACACCAUAACACCAUAAUUCAACCCAAUUCCACCAAUUGAAUCCACAAAAUAUCAUGGUAUCAUGAACAACAUGUAAAGAUUUGAACUUUAUUCACACAAAAUGGAAUUCACAUGAAAUCAUAAAACAUGGAGUAAGUACUUGUUAAUUGAGCAAUCUUAAAUCAUGAAAACAUGAUUAUGCCUAUUCUAGGCAUUUCGUCGAACACCUUGCAUGCACACUUUAUGGCAUAGGUGUUUUUAAUACUUUAUUCAUCUUAAACCACCCAAUUUCAUGGGUUUUAACUACAAGCACACAUACUUCAUGAGAAUCACCUUAAAUUAACAUCUUGAAGCAUAAACAACAACCAUCAACAUGUACAUGAUCAUAUCUCAACAAGACAAUAACAAUAUAGUAUGUAAAGUAUGGUUCUUGGACUCCUACGGAUGAAAGGAAUUCGUGGAUGAACACUACGCAUACCUUAGGUGGAAGAUUCUUGAAGAAAUUCUUAGACAUGUUCUUGAUUCCUUAACUAGGGUUCUUGUUCCUUUGAGAGAAAAUGAAUUGGAUUUUGAGUUUGAAAAAUUUGAAUAUCAUAUAUUCUUGAAAAAGGAUUUGAUUCUUGUUAUAGGUUAUGAUCUUAAGAGAAACCCUUCUUUUGAUGUUGAAGAUAAAUGAGGAGUUAUGUUCUUCAAUUAAUGGGAUUUGGGUCUUCAAAUUGAAACCCUAGCUUGAGUUCUUGAGAGGAGUUUUAGAAGAGGAGUAUAUUUUGCUGAAAAUAAGCCUUAAUCCCGUGUUUGGGGUAUAUAUAGGGGUGGAAGAAGACCAAAAUACCUCUAAGGAACAAUUAAGGUCAAAUCUGUCCCAAAUUAACUGUCUGAUAGGCUGAAGUAAAUUGAUCAUAACUUUUUAUUUAGAUGUCCAAAUGGGAUGAAACUAAUUUCAUUGGAAACAAGACUCAAAGAUCUUUCCAUUUAUAUCUAGAAGCUCUCACAGUUCAUUAUAUAUUGGGAGUUAUGAUCGUUUUAAGUUGACCUUGAAAUGCUGUAAAAAACUGGGCAAGCACUGGAGUUAGCAGGCUGAGCGGGCUAAUCACCCGGGGCUUCUAUUUUGGGCACCCAAACAUGCCUUUACACUACUCCUAAAAUUCCAAAACUCACCUGGGAUAUACUACGAGCUUUUCCGAUUGUAACUCAACUUGAAAAUUAAAAAACGGACGUUGGGAAGGUCGCCAAAUAAAUCCCCAAAGUUUGGAGGUCUUAAAUAAGACUAAGUGUUGAAUCUUGAACACUUAGCAAAAUUUUCUAAGUCUUGGGAUCUUUUGUGGAGCUUUACGAGCUGAAUUUGACACGCAAUUUUGUGGGGUAUUACAGCUACAUGCACUAGGACCCUUUCCGUAGGGGGAGAUGAACCCAUACGGCCCGUGGGUGGUUAGGUCGGCAAAGCUACACAGUCCAGGUAAUAGUUUUAAAGGCAUGCUAUACCCGAUCCCUUUUUCCCUUCACUUGUAUAUAUAUAUAUAUAUGGUUGUGUUCAUGGGAUAAUUUUAUUUGGUUUUUUAAAUGGCAUUAUUUUAUCCUUAUCCUGAGUACAUGCUAGUGUUCACCCACUAACCUGUAUACUGGCGGUUGUAUACCUACGCUAUGCAGGAACCGGCCAUUCUAUUCCUCUUGCUUAGUAAUAGGAUUGAGGUACAGUCGAUGUUGGAUUGAAGUGGUGAGCUUCCAUAGUUCGGAAGGCAUCUAUUUCAUGUCAUAGUUUAUCUUACAUAAUUUUUGUAUUUAAUAGACUUUGAUUUUUGGCUAUGAUCGAGGGCAUGUCUCGACUAGUUACUCUUUGGUUGGUCUAAAGCCUUUGUUUGGUCAACUCUAAACUUGGAAAUGGUAUAGACUAUUGACAGCGCCCAAGCGCACGUGUACGUGGUCUACCAAGUAGUAAAGUGGCCUUCUACAAAGCCAAAUAUCAAUCCCAUAGGGACUUGUAUUAAAAUAAUAUCCAAUUCUAGUUUAACGAUUGAGAAAAAGUAAACAAGAAGGUUUUAGAAUUGUAAACUAAAAAGAAACUAAACUAAUGCGGAAAAGUAAUGACUUUGGAUAAUCAAUGGAUAGAAGCCCAGGGUUAAGGUUUACAAACAAUCAUACUACGCCAUUAAACUUCAUUCGUAAGAUUGCUUAUCGUGGUUGUUGAUUCAUAGAGUUAACCACAUGAUCACGGUCUCCUGACCUCUAACCGUUUACCUAAUGUGGACAUUACAACUACAUCAUUGAGCGGGAAUGUAAUAACCCAACUAAGUGAUUUAAAGCUAUCAUCCUACGUGUGAAUCAAGUAAAUCUUCUAAGUACAUCCCUGUCCUAGAUGCUAAUUUGGAUUCUUUAUUUAUAAAAGAAUACAAAACAUACUUUGCUCAUCCCUAUGUUAUAUCUUCCUAUUCCCUUUUCCGAGAUCAAAAGGUUGACAAUGAAUAUAUUCUAAGGGUAGCUAAUCCUUAAAAUAGUUUAAAUAAGGAUAAACAAGCAACCUUAAUGAUAAGGAACUCAAACAAACUUAAUUCAAGAUUAAAGUAUUCAUGAUCUUGGCGUCAACCCCAAAAAAGGGUUUUUAUCCAUGCAUAGUCUUAAUCGUAAUCACAAAGUUGUUAUUAACAACUAAAAACAUGAAUGAACUAAAUUAAAAUAAUAAGAACCUAAAUAUGAAGUUGUAGAAGCCCCUUGAUCUCCAAAAUAUGUCCAAAUACAUGUAAAAAAACAUGACCAUGAUGAAUUUAUGGCCCUAUGGUAAACCAAACCCGUGUAGGAGUUGUAAACAUUCAGUUAUUGAGCCCGGGAGUGUUGAGGGUGCCGCCCUGCGUUGAGCCCCAGACUGGGUGGGGCGUCGCUAUGGUUAGAGCCCUGCUAUGGCUAGGGCGCCAUGGGAUUAUAUCCUUUAUUCACUAUUUUGGUGCCUUCUAAACUAUCUGGAGCACUUCAUGUGCCAAAAGUCCUUCCCAUGUACCCUCACUCUCCUGGACAUUCCAAGUGUCCAAUUGAGUCCAAGUUAUGUAUUGUGAUUCUAUUGAUCCAUUCUAAACCUUUUUGAGUUGUUUCCACUUGAUUUGAAGCCAUAUAUCCUUAAUAUAUCAUCAUAGUCCAUUAAAAAAUCAUCCUAUAGCAUUAAACACAACAAUUUAGAGCUCAAAACAACACAACAUCCAAGACGGUGAACUAGAAACACGAGCUAAGACUAGGCUUGCCCCCAUUGAUUUUAAGCUUGUUGUUUUGACUUGUCUUGAUCCAAUUGACCCUAGAACAUUAUAACCAAGUUGUUUCACAUAUUAAUACAUAAUAAUAACCUCAUUAAACACGUUAAAGCCCAACAUGAUAGACUAGACAAACACCUAGCUCAAGCUAGUCACACUAGUUUUCUUGGUUGAAUUCUAAAUGAUCAAUUUGAAUCAAAACUUGUUUGAAAACAUCAUUAAACAUUGUCAACACAUACUUGGACACUUAAAUUCUCAUUUAUAUCAUUAUAAAUACAUUAAUAACAUGAAUCAUCCCCAAAACAAGGCUACAAAGACUAGAUUAGUUACACUAUAAUGCAUAAAUACACCCAACAUCAUCACCCCACUCUUAAAGCCUUGUUCGUCCUUGAACAAUUCUUAACUAUAAGAAUCAUGAGAUGAAGAGACUCCACACUUUUAUUACAUGCAAGAAAAUCAAGCUAUUACUACAAUGACCACAUGGAAUGAAAGUUUACAACACUAUGCAUGUUAUACACAAUUAAAAGCUCAAGAAUCCUACUCCAAAACAUCCAUCCUCAAGAAUUGACUCAAUACAUGGCAAACUCAUGCAUAUUACUCAAUAUAAGACAUCUUACAAAUCACCCACAUUCAUCAAACAUGUUCCCUCACAAUAAGAGAGUUACCCAUAAACACUCACAAUAAUGCAAUUAUCAUAAUGGGUAUACAAAUCAAGUUAUGCUCACUCUCACAAAGAAUUCACAAAUUACACAUAAUGAACCAUAGGUUUUCCCUUAGUGUCAUACUCCAUUAAUAUUAGAAUGUGAAAUUUAAGAUCAAAUAGGUCUAUUUUAGAUUGUAAUGUAGGCUUAGGGAUGGCUAGGAACUAUUUUGUCCAAGAAUAGUGAUUAUCUUUCCUAAGCACUUUAAUACAUCACAAUUUUUCACAUAAAACCACCUUCAACAACCUAUUCACACCUUUUCCAUCUACUCAUAUCUUUUUGUUUUGCCCCAUCUCUUUUAAGCAUUUUUACAAACACAUAGUGGGAAUAUUAUCUAUUCCUUCAAGAUUUAUUUUUUUCUUUUUCACAACCAUGGGAAUAUUUCUAACACCAUUUACAUCAUCCCAACCACCACACAUCAAAUAUAAACACCAAUAACUAUUACCUUGGGACAUCAAUUUCACCUUCUUCCUACUUCUUGAAUUUUACAUGCCUUACUCAAUUAUUUUUACAAUUAAAGCACUUAGAAGCUUUGGAUCAAAUUAAGGUCCAUCAAAGAAAGGGGAUUAGGCUACAUAUGAUCCUACCAAAGAAAAAUAAGCUAAAUACUCAAUAGGGCUUACUAGGAUUAUGCGCAAACGUAGGCAAAAGAGAAGGUAAAAAUAAAGCUAUCUAAGAAAUGCAUAUAUCAUCUCCUAAACCCACUCUCUUUAUUUCACUUUAUACACACACCGGUCAAGUUCUAGACAUCACUUGCAACAAGGACUAUACAACAACCUCACAUUACACAUGGCACAUGUUUCACUCAUAUAGGAUCAUCAUAGACUCCCAACCAAAUAAUAGCAUGAAUUCAAAUUUUAAGCUAACAAGUACAAAAGUCACAAACAUGAGCCUAAGAGUCUCAAAAGUAGCAAUUCUCACAAUCAACAUGCUUUUACCAGCAAAACCCUUGCACCAUGCAAUCAAAAAUAGCACCAACAAGAAUAUCUUACACAAAAAUUUUAAUUUGAGCCAAAAAUUGGGAAUUCCUCUACCCCACACUUAAAAAUCUACUUUGUCCCCAAAGUAAAUUUUAAAAAUAAGAGAUAAAAAUACUCCCUGAGGCCUCUAGGCCUAGCUAGUAGCAUAUUUAGACGUUAAGGAGGUCUGUGGAACCCCACAUUAAGUUUUUGCCAUGCUUCUUAGCUAAAGUUUUCAGUACUCAGACUUUCCAUCAACCUAUGACUCAAAAAAAAUAAAAACUAUGUGAAGUAAAAAAAAAAUAACAACAACAAUAACAUACCUAGUGUAUUCCCACCUAGUGGGGUCUGGGGAGGGUAGAGUGUACGCAGACCAUACCACUACCUCAAGAGAAGUAGAGAGGUUGUUUUCGAUAGACCCCCAGCUUAGGACGAAGUAAAAAAAACUAAAAAAAGAACAUACCUACUUAACUUUACUUUGGUUGCCUCCCAAGAAGCGUCUGAUUUAGUGUCACUGCAUGACCUAAUCAUAUUUUUUCCUCCACCUUGAGGAUAUGAAUUUCACCCCCAACUUCACAUCCAUCUUUUUGCCUCACUCAUAGGGUGGUGGUACAAAGAUUAAAGAACCAAGUAAAGGAUGAUUCAUCGUAAACUACUCGACCUUAAAGUGAGGUGUGUUUUUAUGUUGCUUAUCCGAUGUAAAAUUAAGAAUAUAGAAUUCUUGUUUCUCAUCUUCACACUCUUCCACUAUUUUAAAUAAUUCCAUAGAUAAGACAUCAUCAAAACAUAAUGUAGAAAAGUGCUUUGAGUGAGGCCCAACCAAUCCCACUUCUAAAUUUACACUAUCAACAACAUGCUCACUCUCAUUUACCUUCUCAAUUUUAGUCUCAAGAUAAAGAUGACAACUGGGUGCUAGUGAUUUUUUUUUUCUCUUCCUCUGUGGAGAUGGUGGUAAUGGUAUUUCCUGAACCUAUUUAACAACUUUAUGUUUUGAGUACUCAGAACUCCUCGAAUCAUCAGCAACUUUAUCUACAAUAGAUUAGGAAGUCAACUCUAUAUCUACCUCCUUUGUUAUCUAUUGAGCAUUGCCCACAAAUAUAACUAAAUCAGGAUUAAAAGCGCACAUAUCUGCAGAGUGAUACAUACUGUAACAAAUCAAAUAGCAACGUGUAGGUUGCUCUACAAGUAGGAAACAAGAAGGUCCCCUCCAAAUACUUGGAUCAAAAUCUGGACAAAAAGCCUCACGGUGGGGUCCUCCAUAAAAAUGGCAAGAAUCCUCAUCCCUCGAAAACCAUCUAUCCAAGACUGACAUCUCAAGAAGAGUGUGAGAAAAAUAGAAAUAAAGGAAAAAAAAGGAAACUAAAAACCUAAAAAACUAUUUACAACUCAAUAUAGAAAAACUAAAAAUAAGAUAGUCUCUAAUUCAAGUCCUCGAAAAUGGCUCCAAAAACUUGACAGCGCCCAAACACACACGCAAGUGUACAUGGUCUACCAAAUAGUAAAGUGGUCGUCUAGAAAUCUGAAUAUCGAUCCCACAGGGACUUGUAUUAAACAAAUAUUCAAUUCUAGUUUAAUGAUUAAUAAAAGGUAAAUAAGAAGGUUCUAGAAUUAUAAACUAAAAAGAAACUAAACUAAUGUGGAAAAGUAAUGAAAUUGGAUAAUCAAUGGAUAGAAGCUGUAAUACCCCGAAAAAUCCAAACCAAUAUUAGAGCCAUGUACCAAGAUCAUGCAUAGUACAUCAUGGUUAUUUUAUAGUUUUAUGAGUAGAUUAGAUGCAUAUUAAGGCUUCAAAUAACUCUCAGCUAUCAGACAAAUCAAAACAUUCCUUACCGUUCAUGUUCAUGCUAUCAGUCAGCUAUUAUUGUUCAUGCAUAUGAACCCUUGCAUUCAGCUUACUUCACUUGCAUACUAGUAUAUUCAAUCAUACUAAUGCAUUUACACUAUGGUAUUUUAUACCAUAGGUUUAGAAGUAUGAGCUCCCGAGCAUCCUUAGUAGAUCGGACGUUCAGCAGCCAGACUAGCAGUGAGUCCUCAUCAUUCGAUGAUAGCAUGAUUAUUUUAUUACUUUAUUAUUUAGUAGUUUGUAAUUAGUUGGGGACAUGUCCCAUCAACUCUAUAGAUUUUAGAUAGUUUAGAGGCUUUCAGACUAUAGCAUGUUUCAGAUAGUUUAUUUGAGUUUUGGGUAUUGUUAUACCCCAUUACAGACAUUGUUUUAUAUUCAGUAUUAGUUUAGUUUUGAACCAUAUGGCCUUACAUCUUAUAUUCUACAUAUUUAUAGUAUAUUAUUCAGUACUCAGUUACAGAUAUCAGUCAUGGGUUAGCUUAUGGUCCUUUAGGGUCAUGAGCACCGUAUAACAUUUUGGCUACCAGAUUUGGGGUGUUACAAACUUGCUAUCAGAGCCUAAGGUUCAACAGUGUCUUAGGAAGUCUAAAGGUUGCAUCAAGUAGAGUCUUGUGCAUGGUGUGUUGUGCACCACACUUAUGGAUAGGAGGCUAUAAGAUAUUUUAGGAAUAGUUCCCUUAUUUCAGUAUUCAUGUUGUGCCAGUAAGCAUGAGCUCAAAUUUAACUCUCAGUCUAAUCUAUUUCUCCCUUUCUUUUAUAGAAUAUGCCUCCUAAAAAAAGGAGAACCGGUAAUCAGUCAGCACCUUAGCCCAUUCAGGCAGAUCCCCUGGAUGAACACGUUUCCUAUGCAGAAUUCAGGACUACAUUCAAUACUCUAGCUAAUUAAGUCAUAGCUCAGAAUGAACAGCCAUCUGUUAUUUCGACUAACCUAGUGGCCAAUUCAGCUGCAGCCAGGAUUGGGACUUCACCCGAAUGAAUUCUCCCUAUUCUCUAGUUCUAAGUCGAAAGAGAAUCUACAGGAGUUCCUCGACCAGGUUCAGAAAGUCACAGAUAUCAUGGGAGUGACUUAUAGUGAGAGUGACGAGUUAUCCAUCUAUCAGCUACAAAAUGUAUCCCAUACGUGGUUUAAGUAGUGGAAAGUAGACAGGGGUAUAGAUGCAGGGCCAAUAGAAUAGUAGGAGUUUGCUACGGCCUUCUUAGAGAGAUUCUUUCCCCUAGAGAAGAAAGAAUCCAAAGUGUUAGAGUUCAUCAAUCUCAAACAAGGUAUCAUGAGUAUGAAAGAAUACUCCCUCAAGUUCACCCAGUUAGCAAGGUAUGCUCCCCAUAUAGUAGCAGACAGUAGAUCCAGAAUGAGCAAGUUUGUGUCUGGGGUUUCAGGUAGAGUAGUUAAGGAGGGCAGGACUGUGAUGUUGAUUAAGGAGAUGGACAUAUCUAGACUUAUGGUCCAUGCUCAAUAGAUUGAAGAGCAAAAACUUAAAAAGAAGAAAAAAGAGAAUAAGAGAGCCAGAAUAGGUAGUUAUAGUUUUUCUCAGCCAGAGUUGCAGGGUGGUAACCGUUCUUAGCAUGGUCAGAUGUUUUUAGUCCCAGUUCCCUCUUCAGCUAGUAUGCCAGUACCAAAGUUUAGAAAUGACCAUAGGUAUGGGGCGCUAGGCUCCAAAUCCUAAAAAAGUGCAAGCAUUAUUCACACUCAUCCGCUUUGCGAAGAGUGUGGUAAGUAUAAUAAGGGUGUGUGUAGAGUAGGCAGUAAUGUGUGUUUUCGAUAUGACGAGUCAAGUCAUAAGGUCUGAGACUAUCCUAAGCCCAGUCAACAAAGUCAGUACGAUCUUCCUUCAUCUCAGUCCGAUUGGCCAGAUCAGUAAGGUGCCAAUUCCAGUGCUAUCGGUGGGCAACACCCAAAUAGACUCUAUGUACUUCAGUCCCGACAAGAUCAGGAAAGUUCUCCUAAUGUAGUCAAUGGUAUGUUGUAGAUCUCUCAUUUAUAUGUUUACACUUUUUUAGAUUCAGGAGCUUCUUUUCUUUUAUAACUCUUUGCAUACUAGUCAACUUUAAGGUCAGACCAGAUGUUAACAGGACCUUUCUCAGUCUCCACCCAGCGGGUUAGUCUAUCAUAGCUCGACAGGUAUACAGGAACUGUCCGGUUAUGGUACCUUAGAAAGACAGGACUUCAGGUUAUAGUAGUAACACUAGUAUGGGUAGGAAAUCAGUGAGAAAAGUGAUUCCCAACCUAUUUUUAUCCCAAUACAAAAUUUUGUACUUCAACCCUCAUGAUAAUUACCCAUGUAUCACAUCACAAUUCUGUGAACUAGCUUAUAUUCACACUUUCCAUAGAAUCAUAUAUGUUUCAAGUUCUUGGUAUGAGAAAUCCCAAUUCACUCUAUGUUACGAUUCAUGUCCUAUGAGCACAGAAAUUCUAGACUCAGGUCAUACAACUCAUGACUCAUGCACUCAUAUCAUGUUUUAUAGUAUGUUUAGCCCAUAUGACUCAUGCUACACUCCUAAUGAUCAGUUAAAAAUUUAGACUAUGUCACGUAUAUCCAUAAUUUAGACCCCUCGAUGAAUCCAUGGUGUUGAUGUUCCAUCCCUCAGCCCUCAAUUAUAGCAUCAUUCAGUAAUCAGUAUUCAGUAAAGGACUCAGAUAGUCCUACAAAACCAUAGCCUUCAGUUAUCAGUUAUUUUGCCAUUAAAAUUUAGUACUUGAGUACCAAUCUAACCCUCAGUUAUCAGGAACCAGCAUUCAGUCCCAGUUAAAGUCUUAGUUACAGUUACAGUCUUAAUUACCAUCUUAGCUACAACCUCAGUCCUAGUCCUAGUCCAGUCAGAUCAUAAACUCAGUUCGCUUUCACGAUUACCUGACCAUAGAAUAUGGCCACCAGUUAUUCAGUUAUUAGUAUUUCAGUACCUCAGUUUACAGAAUGUUUUUGAAUCAUGUUGGAUGCUUGGUCUUGCAUUCUCAAGGUAAUAUAGUUUUUCACUCAUUCAUGCUCAGUUACCUCACGUUACCCAGUCAUUCAAUACCUUUUAUGUAUAAUACUCUAUAGUCUACAUCUAGCCUUUUAGGCUAAGUACAGUUCAGCCUUAUAGAUCGAGUAGUCAGCUAUCAGUCAUUCAGUUGAUUAGAUAAGUUAGUAUAUUUAUGAAUUCGUACUCAACACCCACGUGAAUAUUUUUAGUAUUCUCAGUUGUAGUGCAUAAGGCUUAGCCACUUUAUCUUAGAUGAUGUUUCAUAGGCCUUGUCUCCUAAUACAAGAAUCCUAGCCAUGUAGCAAUCUCAUAUCAUGAUGACCUGCUCAGAUCAGGACAAGAUAUACUUUCUCCCUACAAACUCUAUAAAAAGAGUGUCAUAGGAAUGCUCCAGUCGAGUAGAAUUUUCCAGUAUGAGUUAGUUAAGCAACCAGUAAUUUAGUUUAGUAGCCAGAUAGACAAGUUCAGAUGGUGUGGUUUCCCAUCUUUUCAUCUAGUCACACUAUCCAGAGUCUCAUAAAUGUGAUAAUUCUAAGAUAGACUAACCAGGUAGUUGUAUGUUUAUCCUAAUUCAUGUAUCAUAUCAUAGUUUUAGAUCUUAGAUAUUCAGAUAGAAGGUGCCUUAUACGUCACCAUAGCUUUCCUUAUAGCUCAGCAAAGUCAACCCAGUAUUUUUCAAUGGAUAUAGUCCCCUAAGGAGGAGAUACAUUAUAAUUCCCCAAACCUUUAUGACAUAAACAUGUAACUCUCUCUUUUCAUAAUGAAUCUAGUUUGGGGUAAGGGGUAUUCAUGAUUUUACCCUCAAACUCCGAUCUCAGCCGUAAGCCACGUAUUCAAGGUACUCAGUUCAGAUCACAAUAUCCAGCUCAUGUAUCACAUUCCAGACUUAGUUACGUUCAUAUAUUUCUGCUCAUGCAUAUCUAGAAAUUAAUUUCAGGCCCAUUAGUAUUUUUAUUUUAAGGAAACAGUCUCCCUUGAACUUAUCCAGUUUCAUGCUCAGAUUUCCAUGAUAAACUUGGUAUCAAUUACCAUUGCAUAUUUAGUCAUGCAUUCAUGUGUCAGAUCAGUCAUGUAUUCAUGCAUUAGAUAUGUAUGUUGAGUAUAAUAUAUUCAAAUUAUCAGUCAUGCCAGUCAUGAAAUCAUUCAUCAGAAAUGAAUGCUCAGAAUAAAUCUCAGUAAAUCAGUGAUGCCAGUCAUAUACUCAUGUUUCAGUAGUUCAUGUUCAGUAUCAUUUCUCCCUUCUCAGUCAAUCUCAUUCGAGGACAAAUGUUCCCAAGGGGGAGAUAUUGUAAGACCCCGCAAAAUCCUAAGCUUAAUUCAGUCCAUUUAUGUUUGUUAAGGGGGUCCCAUACUUAGAAGGUUCUAGCUAAGUUUCCAGACUUAGUUUAUUUUAGCCUUUGAAAGUUAGAAAUCUCAUUUUGUGACUUUAAUGUCCAUUAAUGGUCCGUAUUCUUACUAAUUCAUGACCAGGAAGGUUAAUAGGUGUUCCCAAAAAAGUUUUGGAUUUUUUAGAACUCGUUUAGAUCAUGUUCAGAAUACCAAAACAGUGGACAAAUGCAAUCUUGGCGUGCAGCAUAGCCAAUCGCAUCGAUUGAUAUUAUUGCAGGUUGCCAAGGUUAAAUUACUGACGCUCGAUGCAAUAAUGGCGCAACGCAUCGACUAUCGCAUCGAUGCCAUGAUGUUCCACAUCGCAAAUAGCAUCGGUGCCCAGUUCACCAUCAUUUGAAAGUUGCAUCCUCUGGGUUAUUUUAGUUUUUUUCCUAUGUUCUUCAGCCCUCAUAACUUAAAAUUUAGCCCUCUUUCAUCUAAUUUUAUUCAUUAUUCACAAAAUCCUCAAGAACAAAACCCUAGGGCUAUCAAUUCAAGACUCAAUUUCCAUAGGAUUCCACCAUCAACCUUCUAGAAUUCACCAACUAAGGUAUGUUAAGUAUUCAUCCAAGGGUUUAUUCCACCCUUGGAGUCCAAGAAACCUUUUCAAAAACUCAAGAUAAUGUUUUUGAUGAAUUUCAUGAUUUAGUUUGAUUGUGUUCAUGACUAUUAUGUUAAUGGUUUCUCUAGUUCAUGAUUUAAUUACAAUAUCUAUGUGAAGUAAAGUGAUAUAUGUGUAGUAUCAUGUGAAACCAUGUUAAACCCUUGAAAUUUGUCAAUGGUAAUGUGAUUUAUGAUGCCUAUUUGUUGUAUAGGGUUAUGUGCAUAUGUUAUGCUCACAAAGUAUUUGAUAAAUAGCUCAUGUGAGUUAAUAAGUGAAAGAAAUCAUGCCAUGCUUGUUAUUUUCAAGUUGUAUCAUGCAAGUGUUUGACAAAUUGUUUAUGAGAAUGAAAUAAUGCCAUGUUAUAGUAUGCUAAUAUGUAUUCCCUAUUCAUGUACAAGUAAUGCAUCUCAAGUGGUUGUUGAAAUGUCUAAAUGAAUGAAUGAUAAACAUGUAGCCAUUGUUGAGCUUUUAAGCUUGUGCCAUGAUUUACUUAUUAUGCUAUUGAGUCCUGGGGGUACUUGUACCCGACAAUUUAGUUGUGUGCCUAGAGUCAAUGUCAGUUUUUAUGAUAUUUAUAGUCAAGCCAUGAUCAGUAGAACUUAGUCAAUCAUAUGUCUCAGGAAAAUUCAAUAAAUUUAGUAUCUAUCCAGUAAUCUCAGUGAUCUUAAUAAUCUUAGUGUCUAUUCAGUUGGGAGUAGGAUUCAGCACCGAGUGAACCCAAGGAUGAGGGCUCACCUAUUAUCCAGUAGAGGGUGUGAUCCUUAGUGGCAAUCCCUACAUUCCAGAACUACGUAGCUAGCGUAGGUUGAGAUGUACCCCUACGAUUCUAGGGACUAUACAUCUCCUUUGAGUUCUCCUUACAGGAGGGGUUGACAGAAGAGCUCCCUGUUAUAGAGGGUUUACUAACAGCUUGUCUUUACCCAUGGCAUGGUACUGACACCCUUCUAAUUGGGGUUAUAGGUUGGACCCCACCAUUUGAGAUUUGGGCCAUGUUGCUUAGAUGAUUACCUCCCACAGUAUCAGUUUUAGAUUUAGUCUCAGUAAUAGAACUUAGUUCAGUUCUACAGAUAUCUGGACUGUUCAAUACAAUCGCUCAGCUCAGUACAGUACUCAGCUGGUUCCAUCAGAAUCAGGACUAUCUCUAGCUCAAUCUAGAACUCAGAUAGUUCUUCAGAUUCAGGACUGUCAGAUACAGUUACCCAGUCCAUUAAAGAACUCAGAUAGUUUUUCAGUGUCCGUAUACACAUGUUAUCAGUUAUCAGUAAUAUAGUACCAGUAACCUCAGAUAUCGGUUACCUAUAAACUCUGUAAUUGAUAUCAUUAGUAGACUCAGUUAUUCAUUAUCCCAUUAUUAGUAAACUCAGAUGUUAGUAUAUCAGUAUUCAGUACUAUCACGACCCCAGUUCCAGUUUAUGUAUUAAUGCAUGCAUUUCUCACGCGUUCAUAUUUAUGUUACCAGUCAGCUAUUAUUGUUCAGGCAUAUGAACCCUUGUAUUAAUCUUACCUCACUUGCAUUCCAGUAUAUUCAAUCACACUAACGUAUUUGCGUUAUGGUAUUUUAUACAAUAGGUUUAUAAGCAUGAGAUCCCGAGCAUUCUUAGUAGAUCAGAUGUUUAUUAGCCAGACUAGCGGUGAGUCCUCAUCACUCUAGGAUAGCAUAAUUAUUUUAUUACUUUAUUAUUUUAUUAGUUUAGAGUUAGUUGGGGACAUUUCCUAUCAACUCCACAGAUUUCAAACAGUUUAGAGGCUUUUAGACUAAAAAAUGUUUCAGACAAUUUAUUUCAGUUUUAGGUAUUGUUAUACCCCAUUAAAGACAUUGUUUUAUAUUCAAUAUUAGUUCACUUUUGAACCAUAUGGCCUUACAGCUUAUAUUCUGCAUAUUUACAAUAUAAUAUUUAGUGCUCAGUUACAAAUAUCAGUCAUGGGUUAGCUUGUGGUCCUUCGGGAUCAUGAGCACUAUGUAAUGUUUUGGGUACUAGAUUCGGGGCAUUACACUCAGCUCUUGGUGAAAGAAGUAGUCAAGAAAAGCACCAGAGAAGUCAUCCCACAUAACUAGCUUAGAAUUACCUCCUCUCAACUGUUCCCACACCUCAUACCACUGAUAUGCCACAUCCUUCAACUGAUAUGUCGCGAACUAUACAAACUAAGAUUUAAAAGCAUGCAUCAUUCAAAAAGUAUUUUCUAUGUUAUCUAUGAACCCUUAAGGAUUCUCAUUAACCUUGGAACCAGUGAAAGUUUGAGGACACAACCUCAUUAACUUACCAACCAUUGUGUCCUCAGAAGAAUGAGUGAUAAGCUUAACACGCUCAGACUGGAAUGACUGGGAGGCCACCAACUGAGUAAGCAAAUAAAUUGACUGGCAAAACUCAACAUUAUACACAUCCCCCUAUGGCAUUGGGGAAGAAGUACCAUCAUCCUACGGGGCCUAAGGAGGGCUAGUAGGAUCGAUUGAACUCCAUAGGGGCAAUUAGAAGUAGGGACCCUAGAUUGGGUUUAUACCCUACAAGCAGGAUGAGCACCAUCCACAUUGUCCUCAGCUGGGGCAAAGGAGUUUCCACGGGCAUCAAACCUUUGAGGAGGCAUUAUUUGAAAUAUGAACAAAUGAAAAUUGAAGAGAUUUCAACAUUCUAAACUCUACAACACGAAAGUAGAACACAAGAAAGAGAAAAAUUCCUAAAUGUCUCAUAGCCUUUCCCUUAUAAGUGUGGUGGGCUACACAGCCAUAAAAGAGACUCUACUCAACACAUAUUUGUGGAUACCCAAUUGACCAUGAACCUAGGGCUCUAAUACCAACUUAUCAUGACCCCGAAUAAGGGCCUGUCCAUGAUGGUUAUGUCAAGUCCAUUGAGGAUCGAUGUUGCAGUCUACCGCACAUGCAAGUGUAGGUGAUCAGAUAAGUACUAUAGUGACUCAGAAGAAUUGGAUAUCAAACCCACAGGGACUGUUAUUUAGUAACUAACUUAAUUUUAGUUCCGAUAAUAUUAUAUUUAAGUGUUAUGAGUUUCAAAAUAUUUGUAACGGUUUAGUAACUAAAUAACUAAUGAAUGACUAACAAAGUGUUACAAUGGUAAUUUAAGAAAAGUUGGAAACAAUACAAUAGGAAAUUCUAGGUCUAAGGCACUAUCUGCAAUCAUGUAAUUCGAUAUCCUUAUUGUUGGUCAUGUUGGUCAUUGGGUUGUUGACUCACAAGGUUGAUAUUAUGAUUAUGGUCUUUUGAGCCUCUAAUAUCCUACCUAAAAAGCAUCACAACAACAUCAUUGAGAGGAGAUAUGAUAGUUCAUUUUAGAUGCUUUAAGUUAUCUUUCUGCAGUUGAACCAAACAAGGUGAUCUAGAUAUAUUUCUAUCCUAGACUGUACUUCAAACCCUUGAUUAUGUAGAAGAAUAAGAACUUGCUCCUUAAACCCUUUGAUCUAUCCUAAUGUUCCUUUUUUUGAGUUUAUAAGAGAAUUAAACAUAUACUUCAUAGUGGCCAAUUAUUAAAAUAGUACGAGCAAGAGAAUAUAAACAACCCAUGUGAUAAACCAACGCUUAACCAACUCUAAUAAUAUCAAACUAUAAUCAUGCGUUCAGCUUUAACCCCAAAACAAGAGAAUUUAGCCAUUCGUGUUUGAAACCGACAUCCACAAAAUAUAAAUAAUCAUGCCAAAUUCAAAGUAGAAAGUUAAAUGAUAAAAGAGCCUUAAUAAAACCCUCUUAUGUGUUUUUUCUUGCUAUUACGUUUGCCAAAGAUAUUCCUCUAAUAUCUAAAGUGUUUCUUUUAUAGCAGGGUUGAUCUGCACUUUUGAAACACCUCAAAUGUCAUGCCCUUAUGCAGAGGAUAGGUGGCAUGGCACGCCAAUAUCGUGAAAGCAUACUAGAAUAUAUCAAUUCACUUUUAUACUACCUUCAUGCCAUGCCCUUAUCAUGGAGGAUAAGUAGCGUGGCAUGCCAAUAUCGUGCUUGUUCACUGGAAAUUUCUAUCAUCUUUUAUCACACCAAUAUUCCACGCCCUUAUCAUAGAAGCUAAGGUCCAUGGCAUGCUGGUUUGUUAAUUUUUGCAUUUCCAGCCUUUGUUUGUACCCAUCCUCAUUUGACCUUAGUCCAAUGCUUUACAAGCUUAGUUCUACUCUUCUCAUGCUCAAUGUGUUUCAUCCUAGUGCUUUUCAAAUCCAUAAGCUUCAUGUUUAUUCUCCACCAUAUUUAUUUUUAUCACACUCAAGCCUUGCAACACUAAUCAUAUCCAUUAGCUCGAGAAUACAAAUUUGACUCAAACACAAGAUAUUUUUCACUCUCUAUCUCAUAGAACAAGCAUAUUUAUGGGUAACAAUUGGCACCUGGGCGUAUAAAUAUGCCCCAGAUCACCAACCGCAGUUAGAUUCUUAUUCCCCCUCAAACAAACCCAUACAAUUAUUCUUACACACUUAGGCUUUAUAUCAUUAUCUUAACGAGACACUUUUGUUGAUCACGCACGGGAUACACAUGACUUAUAAAUUUUCAUCCCCAGCUUGUCAUAUCACAAUUGAAAACAUAGGAUUGCUAUUUUCAGACAUCCUAACCUCAAUAAUGGACUCUAAUAUAUUGGCAAAUUUAUACACAUUAUUCAACCAAGCAAUCAUAUAGGUCCUCUAAUCAUCCUUCGCAUGCACCCUCACUACAAGAUAUUUAACCUAAUUCACUCAUCAUAAUUCAGUAUAUCAUAGGAAUAGGUACACAAGACAAAGAACAAUUUUCACUCACUCUUCCAAAGAAUGCACACAUGAUAUAUGAUAAACCAUAGGAUUGCCCUUAGUAUAGUGUUAUACUAAUAUUAGACUGUUAAGACUUAGGACCAAAUAGGUCUUUAAAGGUUGUAAUAUAGGCGAAGGGACGGGUAAGAUAUAUUUGGCUAAAAAUAGUGACUAACUUUCCUAAGAGCUUUAAUACAUCACAUGAUCACUAAGAUUACUCUAUUAAUAACCACGCUUUUACCUCACCUAUCUUUACAUACAUCUUUUGUUUUGACCCAUCUCAUUAAGCUAAUUCAUAUAAAUUUUGGAAGGGAGUUUUCUAUUCAACAGAUUAUUCAAUUCUCUUGAAUAAUCUUUAUUAUUUUACAUUACACAACUCCCGACCUCAGUACACAUCAAUUCUUAAAACCAAUAGCUAUAUUUUGGGGGCUUUAUUUUCACGUUUUUCUUACUUGUCCUUCGAAUCCUUAACUUUAUUAAUUUUCACUAAAGAUCUUAGGAGUUUUAGAUCAAAUUAAGGUCAAACAAAGGGAGGGUACAAGCAACAUAUGAGGCUGCUAAAGAAAAUAAGUUAAAGUCUCAAUAGGGUUAACUAGGAGUAUGCAUAAGGGUAGGUAAAAGAGGUAUAAAACAUAGCUAUCAAUGAAAGUGUAAUACCCCAUAAAAGUCUUAGCUCAAUUCAAAUCUCAGUUGCAUGUUUAAAGGGUCCUAAGCUUGGAAUUUCACCAAGUGUUGAGGACUUAGUUACUUUCAUGACCUCUAGACUUUACUAAUUUUUAAAUCAACAUUCUUGACCCUAAAAUGUUGGUUUUUAAGUUGAUUCAUCUUUAGGGAGGUCAAAAGUAUAUGUCAGGUGAGUUUUAAAAUUUUCAAACGAGAGUAGGGGCGCAUUUGGAGACCAAACCAGUAGGGCUACUGGGAUAAGCCAGCGUUGCCUGGGCUAGUCCACUGGGACAGAUCCUGCGUCGCCUGGUACCUAUAUGUUCAGCUUUUGAUUUAAAUGCACAAGGGGUAUUUGAGUUAUUUCCCAUAACCCAACUCAUCCAUAAUCACAAAUUAGGGCUCUCAAGGAGCAUUAGUGGUACUUUUUCUCACAAAUUCUCUCAAGAAAAUCCCUCUCUUUCCACAAGAACAAACCCUAACCCUUUCAUAAGAGAUCAAAGAAUUCAAGCUUUAAGUUUAAGAAACCCUUAAGAAUUCUUUAAGAAAUUAUCUAUUAAAGUAUGUGGGAGUUCAUCCAUGGGUCCCCUUUCACCAUGGAGCUCAAGAAUCCUUUUCUAUUUUGAAUUAUGAGUUUUAUAUAUUUAAGUUGAACUAUCUCCAUGAAUAUUUUGUUAAUUCAAAUUCAAGUUAUGAUUAUAAGUGCUUUCAAAUGGAAUGAGUCAUAUCAUGUUUUGAAUGUUGUAAUUCCCAUGUCAUGUUCACUUCACUCAGGAUAAAUCCUCAAGUUAUGAUUUUUGCGAUGAAAUCCUAUUGUUUCCCUCAUGUUUAAGAUAUUCUCAUGUAUAAACUUAUGAUUCUUACAUGUUUGAUAAAAUUCCCAUGUUUUGGGUCUUUGAACUAUGAUUUGCAUACUUUAGUUUUAAGUGUUAAUAUCGUGCUUUAUGGUCAUUUAGUAUUGGUGGGUUAUGAACACCUGAUACCUAUGUAUUUUUACAUAUUUUGGUUUUUAACAAGUCAGUUAGAAUCAUGAUUUUAUCCCAUAUUCAGAUUAUCAUUUUUAGAAUGAACUUACUAGUUUUACUUUAUGUUAAAUACAUCAGUUUACAUGUUCAUGGUUACUUCAGAUUAUGCAUGCACUAUCAGUUUUUAGAAUACCAAGACCUGAGCUUAUCAGUUAUCAGUUAUCAGUGCAUACACCAGUUAGUAUUUCAGUGACUUUCAGUUGGGAGUAGGAUUUAGAAUCGAGCAAACUUAGGAAUAGCAUCUACCCUAUUAGUUGGGCAUAAGACGUUAGUAGUAGUCCCUAAGUUCUAGAGUUACGGUGCCACCAUAGAUUUUGAGGGGUCCCUCAUCAGUUAGGCAUGAUGCCCUCAUCCUUUAAGAUAUCAAUUUAGUGAUCACUACAGUUCAGGUUCUAUACCGAUGGUAAAGAUAGAAUAGCCCUCCUCAAUGUAGGUCAGACAUUGGACUACAUGAUAGCUCAUAUGGUUUAUGUUAGUUAUAUGAUUCCUCCCAUAAUUUCAUUCAAUAUUAAGUGUAUUUUCAGUUCAGGUUUUCUUGACUAAGUGUACAGACUUGUAGAUAUUCAGUUAUAUAGAUUUUAGUCUUUUAAAAUUACAGAUUGUCUCAUUGACAUAAAAGAUAUACACUUAGUCUUACAUUCUCAGAUAUUACAAUUUUCAUGCAUUCAUGCUCAGUUAUCUCAUGUUGUUCAGUUAGUCAUUAUAUCAUACACAUAGUACCCCAUAAUUUUAGUCCAAUUAUUCAGACUAAGUACAGUUCAGUUUUACAUGACCAGUAUUCAGUAAUCAGUUAGUCAAUUUAUAGAUACCAACUAAUCAAGAUCAAGAUACCAGUUAUUUAGUAUUCAGAUAUUAUAUCUUCAGUAUUCAGCAAUCAUUCAUUCAGUUGAUCAGAUCAACUAAGUAUAUGUUAUGUUUAGUUUUGUAUAUUUAUGCAUUCGUGCUCAAUAUAUUUGUAUAUUCAAAUCCUUGAGUUAUGUUAGUUUCCAUCACAUAGUUUUAGACCAUUAUUGAUAUAGUAUCUAUGUUUAACUAUUUCUAGCUUUAGUCUUCUUAUUCUAUGAAUGGAGAGCUUUAAGAAACUUCUUAUUCUACGAAUAGGGAGUGUUAAGAAACUAAGUGUAGUGACUCACUAGCUUAUCAUAUUUCAUUUGUUAAUCAUGUUUUUAGAUAUACUAGCUUUCAGCUUAGUUCAGUCUCUUGGUGAGUCUACUUGCAGUUAGCAUACGGGUUUAAGAUUACGCAUAAACUCAGUUUUACUUAUUGCAUUCACCCCAAUUCACUCAGUACAUUCAAAAGGUACUAAUCCAUAUAUAUGUCUGUGUGGAUACAUUAUUUCAUAAUGUAGGUCCAGUUAUAUCCCACAUAUCAUGAUCAGACGAUUGUACUUUCUAGCCAGCAGGUGAUAAGUUCUCCUAUUUUGGGGACUCUAGCCAGAUGUUGAUCAUGUGCUUUAUUUUUAAUUAUUAUUCAUAUGAUUUAAUUAGUGGUAGAUAGAGGCAUGUCCCAGCUAUCUAUAGUCAGUAUAGUAGAUGUUUCAUAGAUGGCAGUCAGAGUCAGUCAUGUAAUUUUAAUUUCUCUCUUCAAAUUUAUCUGAUUAUAAACUUUAUAUUUUACAUACUUAUCUAUAUUUCAUUAUGAUUAUGUUUUCGCACAGUAGAACUAGCUAUCUAAUACAUAUUAAAUCAGUUGCUCAAGAAGUAUGCCAGUUCAUGGGUUAGCUUGGGAUCACUUGUGGUUUCAAUCACCAUGUUACGACUAAGGGGUAGCCUCAAGUCAUGAAAAACUUGGUAUCAGAGCCUAGAAUUUAAGUGUCCUAGGGUGUCUAUGAAUUCGUGUCUAGUAUAGUCUUCCAGAAUAGUGCGAAGACGUCUGUACUUUUCUUUGAGAGGCUACAGAGCAUUUUAGAAAUAUUUCCCUUCUUUCAUGUCUCAGAUCAUGCAAUAAAAGUGCCCUCUAAGAAAUUUAUACAAAUUCUCAUCUUGCUCCAUUCAUGUCAACUCUACCUUACUUUCAAGGUAACAGAAAUAGUGAAGCUCAAAUUCCUAUAGAUAGAGUUUUCUCAAAUAGUCCCCACAGACAGUUAUGGGAUUAUAUGCAGUCUCAAAAGUAUCCCAUCAGUGCCUUUAUAUUCCAAAGAAUGAAGUAUUUCAUUCAUUAUCAUGAAAAUUAUGCAUUGAGACAAAGUCAGAUAUUCCCUCAGAUCCCUUUGCAGAACCCUUUGAUAGAAUAUGAUCUAGAAUUUAAAGCAUUAACCCAGAAGUUUAGAAGCAGUAAAGUGGGCAUAGCUUUAUCGGCAUUUAGUAGAUUAUAUAUCCAUGGGGAUAUUUGUAUGAAAGGUGAAUCACUAGUCUUGAAACAGUCUAUAUGCAAGAAUUUAAGUUAAUUAUAAUGGUGUGGGCAUGCUUUGAGAGUCCCUUGAGUUGCUAAGUGUGAAUGAGGCUAGUAACGUAGUAUAUGAUGUUUUUACCAGCUAAGUUAUGGGCUAUAGAAAGUUAAGAGUUAUUUAUCAGAAGGAAGUACUAGCAGUGGGUUUUAUACUUUUAGGUGUAGUCUUUCAAGGUGAGUUUAUCAUUUAUGUGUAUUACCCCAGAUUCUACAAUAAAGUGGUUGUUGUUCAGUUAGAGUUUAAAAAGGUCCCGUGGACUUAGAAUGAUGGCUUAAAGCUAAGGGGGAGAUGAUAGAUCAAGUAACCAAGUCCGGCUCUCAGAUUUUAGUGGUGAUGCCAGUGUAUUGUAGAACAUCAGUAGGGUAGGAAGAUGCCCAACCCAUUCUUAUAUCAGUGUAAAAUUUUGUACUUCAGUUAUCACGAUAUCUACUCAUGCCUUAUAUAUCAGCUCCAUGAUCAUAGUUCACAUUUAUGCACAUCAUAGAGAAUCAUGUGCGCUUCCAGUUCCUGGUAUAAAGAGUUUUGGUUCACUCAACAGUAUGAAUUUUGUUCCAUGAAAUUAUGAACUGCAAACUCAGGUCAUGCAACUCAUGACUCAUGUACUCAUAUUUUACAGCAUGUUUAGUUCAAGUUACCCAUGCUACACUCUUAAUGAACUGCGACAUUCAGUUAUUAUCAUGUAUGUCCUCAGAUUUGAUCUCUUUGAUAAAUCCAUUAUGUUUAUAUUCUAUUCCUUAGUCCUCAGUUAAGUGUCAAAGUUAUUCUUCUGUGCAUCAGGAUCUCAUGUUCCAACCUUUCAGUGACCUCUUCUUAUAAAAUGAUAGUAGUGAUGAGUAAUUAGUUUGAUGAGAAUUUUAUGUGGGUUUUAUUGGGGAUAGUGCAUAGGAGUUAUUAUUGACAAGAGAUAUUUGAGAUUGUGGUAAAAGUUUUUAGGUGGGUUGGUUGACCAAAAGUUUAUAUGUGGUUAUAAUGAUAGUCUUGAAUGUCAUGUUUGUAUAUUUGUGGAUAAAUGCAUUGUGCAUUAGCAAAUUCCUAGUAAGAGAUUGAAUGUAGCUAUUGAAGUUAUAAUAAGAAUUAUUCAUGAGAUGAGAAGUUGUGAAAACACAAGGGAGGUAUUGAAUUCAUGGUUCAGACUAGUAUUACAGUGUUAUGUGCGCACUUUGUAGAUUUGAAUUCAUGGUUCAAACUAGUAUUACAGUGUUAUGUAUGCACUUUGUAGAUUCAAGUAGGCUUGAACAUAGUGAGAAAAUUCAGUUUAGCUCAGACUUUGGUAAAUAGAGACAUCAAUGCCCAUGUGAAGAUUUUAAGUAGCCUCAUGAAACGCCCCGAAUCUGGUACCCAAAAUGCUAAACGAUGCUCAUGACCCCGAAGGACCAUAAGCUAACCCAUGACUGAUAUCUGUACCUGUAUACUUUAUAAUAUAUUGUAUAAUGUAUAAACAUGAACAAAAAGGCCAUAAGGUUCAAAAUUAUAACAAAACUGAUAAAAAUAUAACAUCUGGAUGGGGUAUGAAAUACCCAAAACAACUGAAAUAACUAUCUGAUCAUGAUAGUCUAAAAAACCUCUAACUGACUAGACUGUCUAAAUAAGGAGUUGAUGGGGCAUAUCCCCAACUAACUCCAACCAAUAAAUUAAUUAACGAGAUAAUAAAGUAAUGAUUAUGUCCUCAAAAGAUAAGGACUCACUGCUAACUCUGACUGCUGAGACUGGAAUCUACUGGUGCUUUAGAGCUCGUGUCUCUAAACCUAUGGUAUAAGACACCAUAGCACAAAUGCAUCAGUGCUUUUGAAUGCACUGGUAUACAUGUGAGGUAGGCUGAAUGCAUGGGGUUCAUAUACAUGAACAAUACUAGCUAACUGACUAAGAAUACAUGCAUGCAUACAUAGUAACUAUAUCUAAAAUCAUGAUAACAUGAGUUUACUAUUAACUAACAUGACUAAUGACUGAGUUCUGAUAACUGAUAACAUGGGUGACUGUAUUUGACAGUCCUAAAUCUGAUAGAACUAGCUGAGCUCCGUACAAUAUCUGAGUUGACUGUAUCUGACGGUCCUAAAUUCUGUAACAUAAAAUUAUGAAAAGUAGUCAUCUAACAGACAUGCCCCAAAUGAUGCAUUAUAGCUGAAUUGGGGUCUAAUCUAUGCCCUGAUUGGAAGGGUGUCAAUACCUCACCACUAGUAAGGACAACAUGUGAAUGACCCUUGAAUAGCAUGUUACUCUAAUGAGAAUGGUGGGAAGCCUCAACUAGAAGGUUAAGCCACCUCAUCUACCCUCAACUAGAAGGUAUGAUGUCUUAACCUACGCUGGCAACGUAAUUCUAGAACGCAAGGAUUGCUUCUAAGAAUCAUAGUAGGCUGAGUUCCCAUCCUUGGGUUCACUCGGUGCUAAUUUCUGCUCCCAUCUAAAUAGACACUGAACAUGAUUAACUGAUCUGAACAUGCACUGAGUUUACUAAAUUCUAUUAACUGAUGGAAAACUACUGAUAUCUGACAACUGACAGAGUUUGUGAGAUUACUGAGGUUACUGAAUUACAAAUCUUUCCUGGGUCACAUGACUGACUGACUUCUAUGGAUCUUGGCUUGACCGAGGAUAUCAUGAAAAUAUGACACUGGCUCUAGGCAUAUAGCUAAAUUGUCGGGUAUAAGUACCCCCAGGACUCGAUGGAAAGAAACUGACAAAGCAUUACUUUCUUGAAUACACGACCAACAUCACAAUCCAUAAUUCAUUUAUUGAGGUAAUUCAUCAAACAUGUGAUAUGCAUAAGCUUGUACAUGAAUGGGAAUUUCAUAAGAUCAUACUAGUUGGGCAUUUUUUUUCCUUCACAUUGGCAUUUAAUCAAACACAUGGUAGGCAUAGUAUAGGUAGACAACAUUAUAUAACAAAUAAACAUCAUGAUUCAACGCUAAUUUCAUCAUCCAAGGGUUUUAUCAUAGGUCCACUUGAAUCUACAUCUAUACUAAUCAAUCCCACAUAAAAUUUAUAGCCCAACAUGGAUUAGAAUUUAAUUGGUCAUUCUCAACAUGAACAAAAGCAACCCAACAUAAAAUUCAUAAAGAAAUCCAUGCACUAAAACUUUGAAAAGAGAUUCUUGGGCUUCAUGGACGAUAGGAGUCCAUGAAUGAACACUAUGCAUACCUGGGUUAAGUUUCUUGAAGUUCUUCAACUUGAAGAAUUUGAAUCUCAUAGUUCUUGAAGAAGAAUUGGAUUUUGUUCUUAGGGAUUAAUCUUAGAGAGAAAACCCUAAUUUUGUUUUUGUAGAUGGAUAAUGAAUUUCUGAGUUUUGGUCGGAUAUAACUUGGUAUAUAAAUGGGUGGUAAAAGACCAAAAAGCCCAUUUAAAAAUGGCUUUAAAAAAACUGAACGGAACAUGCUACGGUUGGUUCGAUGGUCCAUCGCUGGGUCGACGGUCCAUCGAAUUGAUUGUCGCACUAGAUCCAGAACUAGAACUUACUGCCUUGGUGCAAUGGUGGGGUGCGAUGGUCCGUCGCUGGGUCGACGGUCCAUCAGUCCUGAUCGUUGCUUUUAGGCAGAAUAGGGCCUCACUCUUGACGGCCUGAGCGAUGGUCCAUCACUAGUCCGACAAUCCAUCAGCCUAGGUUGUUGAUCCAGGGCAGAAGGUAGUCAUAAUGACUCACAGCGACGAUCGUGGGCGAUGGUCCAUCGCUAGUCCAAUGGUCCGUCGACCUCACUGUCGCACCUGGGCGAUUUUACUGCCUUCUAUAUUUUAUCCAUAACUUUUUGUUCCGAUGUUGGAUUUUGAUGAAAUUGGUAUCGAUGGAAAACUUAUUCAAUUUCUCAGGUGGAAAAAAGUGAAAUAUUAAAAAUACCACAUGUACAAAAGUGGAUUCAUCUUUCAAAGAAAGUUUUUAACAUUAUUAGGUCAAUUUCAAGAUAGGAAAAAGUACGGGGUAUUAGAAUAUCUUUCCUUUGAGAACAUUAGUCCUCGAAUGAGACUGGGUGAGGGGGAAAGAAUAUCAACUAACAUACAUACUGAACAUGACUGGCUGGAACAUGAUUUCAUGACUGACAUGACUAAUAACAGAAUAUAUCAUACUGAAUAUGCAUAUCUGUUGCAUGUGUAACUGAUUCAUGAAUGCAUGAGUGGGUGUUUUGAUGAACUAAGUUUCUAACAAUGAGAAUGCAUGUCUAAAUAUGCAAUGGUACUUGGUACCAAGUUUGUGAUGAACACUAAAUAUGAAAUUGAGUAAGCUUAAGGAGAACUGUUACCUUGAGUUUGAUCUGAGUUGGAGGAAAAGAGGUGAAGAUACUUGGUACGCAUGUCUGCUUCUGCUUCCCAAGUAGCUCCCUCGACGGACUGAUUUCACCAAACAACUUUAAUUAGAGGUACUUCUUUGUUCCUCAAUCUACGAGUCUGAUAGUCUAGGAUUUCGACCAGAAUCUCUUCAUAAGAGAGGCUAUUCUAAACAUCUAUGCUCUGAAUAGGGACUACAACUGCUGGGUCACCUAUGCACUUCUUAAGCAAGGAGGCAUGGAAAAUUGGAUGAACUGAAGCCAGAUCUGAAGGCAAUUAGAGCUCAUAAGCUACCUUGCCAAAGCGACUGAGAAUCUUGAAGGGACCGAUAUAUCGGGGACUAAGCUUUCCCUUCUUGCCGAACCUCUUCACUCCCUUCAUGGGAGAUAUCUUUAGAUAGACCAGAUCAUCAAUCUCAAACUCGAUAUCAUUUCUACGAACAUCUUCAUAAGACUUUUGUCAGCUCUGAGCAGCCUGGAGCCUUUCUCUGAUCAACUGGACUUUUUCUAAGGCGUCAAAUAACAAGUCAGGCUCUAUGACUAAAGCCUCACUAACUUUGAACCAACCAAUUAGAGAUCUACACCUUCUUCUAUAGAAAGCUUCGAAUAGAGAUAUCUUAAUACUGGAAUGAUAACUAUUGUUGUAUGCAAACUCAAUCAACGGCAAGUGGUCAUCCCAAAUUCUCUUAAAAUAAAUUGCAUACGUUCACAACAUAUCUUCUAAAGUCUGAAUGGUCCUUUCUGGUUGACCAUCUGUCUGAGGAUGAAAGGUUGUACUGACAUGAACUUGGGUACCAAGACCCUUUUGGAAUGUUAUCUAGAAAUAAGAGGUGAACAAAGUACCUCUAUCUGAGAUAAUAGAUAAUGGAACACCGUGCAAUCUAACCAACUCUCUAAUGUAGAGUUUGGCAUAAUCCUCAGUUGAAUAAGAGGUAUGAACUGGAAGGAAAUGAGCUGAUUUGGUCAUUCUAUCUAUAAUGACCCAAAUUGAAUCAUGUUGAUGACGAGUUAGAGGCAAAACCAUCAGGAAGUCCAUGUUCACUUCUUCCCACUUCUAAGUAGGAAUACUGAACUCCUACAUGGACCCACUAGGCUUCUGAUGCUAUAGCUUAACCUGCUGACAUAUAGAUCACUUAGCCAUAAACUCUACAACGUAUUUCUUCAUCCCACUUCACCAAUAGAUUUCCCAAAAAUUGUGGUACAUCUUUGUGUCCCCUAGAUGAAUAGAGUAGCGUGCACCAUGCAUUUCUGCAAGAAUUUGUUGCCUUAAGUCAUCUAAAACUAGAACACACAGAUGACUCUAACCACGCAGAACACUAUCUCUCCCUUAGGAGAAACCUCUACUUUCUGAUCCUUGCCUGACUCUUUUAACUUGACAAGGCUAAGAUCCCUAUCUUGCUUUUCUUUCACCUUAGAAACUAGAUAUGAUUCUGAACUAUUGUGAACCCAUAUAUCACCCUCCUCUAUAUCGACUAAGAAAAUGCCUAGUCUAGCAAGCUGAUGGACUUCCUGGGCUAAAUUCAUCUUACUGUCCUCGAAAUGAGCAACACUACCCAUAGAUAGUCUACUGAGAGCAUCGGCCACUACAUUGGCCUUGCUCGAAUGAUAAAGGAUACUCAUGUCGUAAUCUUUCAAGAUCUCUAGCCACCUUGUCUAUCGAAGAUUGAGAUAUUUUUGAGAAAAGACAUACCAAAUGCUCUUAUGAUCCGUGAACACAUCUACAUGAACACCGUAUACAUAAUGCCUCUAAAUCUUCAAGGCAAAUACUACGGCGGCUAACUCAAGAUCAUGAGUAGGAUAAUUCUUCUCAUAGGGUUUAAGCUGUCUGGAGACGUAAGCUCUGACCUUACUAUGCUACAUAAGGAAACAACCCAAACCUAUUUUGGAUGCAUCACAAUACACUACGAACCCAUCUGAACUAUCUAGAAAAGCUAGAACUAGAGCUGAUGUGAGUCGAGUCUUCAACUCCUGAAAACUCUUCUCGCAAGGAUCUAACCACUAAAACUUAACUUUCUUCUAAGUCAAUCUAGACAUAGGGGAUGCAAUAAAAGAAAAUCCCUCAACAAACCGUCUAUAAUAGCCAUCCAAACCCAAGAAACUCUUGAUAUCUAAUGGAGAGAUAGGGCGAGGCUAGUUUCUUACUGCUUUGGUCUUUUGAGAAUCUACUCUAAUGCCAUCACCAGAAAUAAUAUGGCCAAGGAAUGCUACUGGACUUACAUAAAAUUCGCACUUACUGAAUUUGGCGAAUAGCUGAUGAUCUCUGAGAGUCUAAAGUACUGUUCUGAGAUGGUCUGCAUAAUCUCGCUUACUGUGGGAAUAGACCAGAAUAUUAUCUUUGAAGACUAUGACGAACAUGUUCAAGUACUGCUUGAACACAUGAUUCAUCAAGUCUAUGAAAGCUGCUGGGGCAUUGGUGAGACCAAAGGACAUGACUAGCAAGUUGAAGUGACCAUAUCAAGUACGGAAAGCUAUUUUUAGAUUUUCGUAUUCUCUAACUCUAGGCUGAUGAUAGCCAGAUCUAAGGUCUAUCUAGGAGAAAUAGCUAGCACCCUGAAGUUGGUCAAACAAGUCAUCGAUUCUAGGAAGAGGAUACUUGUUCUUGACCAUGACCUUAUUAAGUUGAUGGUAGUCUAUACACAUUCUAAGAGAACGAUCUUUCUUGUGAAUGAAUAAUACUAGAGCGCCCCACGGGGACACAUUGGGUCUAAUAAAUCCCUUAUAUAGGAGAUCCUUCAACUACUCUUUCAAUUCUCUAAGUUCUGCUGGUGCUAUUUUGUAUGGCGAAAUAGAUAUAGGUUGAGUAUUUGGAAGAAGAUCAAUGUCAAAGUCUAUUUCCCUUUCGGGAGGAAUUCUUGGAAGAUCUUCAGGAAAGACAUCUGAAUAUUUGUUCACAACUGGGACUGAUUCAAGACUGGGAGUUUCAAAGCUAGUGUCCUUAACAUGAACAAAAUGAUAGACACAUCUCUUAGAUAUCAUUUUUCAUGCCUAAAGGUAGGAAAAAAGCUGACCUCUGAAAGCGGAUACACUACCCUUCAACUCUAGGAUGGGUUCAUUCAGAAAAUGGAAACGGACUAUUCUAUUUUUGCAGUCGACUAUGGCAUAGCAGGAAUAAAGCCAAUUCAUGUCGAGAAUGACAUCAAAAUUAGUCAUCUUUAAUUCAACUAAGUCUACUAAAGUGAGUUUCUAAGAUAUCACAACCGGGCAAUUCCUGUAUACCCACCGAGCUAUAAUGGUUUUACCCACUAGGGUAGAAACUGAAAAAGGUUCUGCUAGAAUUUUGGGACUGACUCCUAAAUCAACUGCUAUAUAGGGACUAACAAAAGACAAAGAAGCACCUGGAUUUAGCAAAGCGUAAACAUGCACAUGAAUGAUCGGUAACAUACCAGUAACCACAUCAGGAGAAUUUUCCUGAUUGGGCGUUGCCUACUAGUAGCACUGGAGGUGGCACCCUGCUGAUUCGUGCGACUGUACUAAGCUAAGGAACGAUUAUGUUGACCCUGUGGACCUGACUGCGGACAAUAUCUAACUCUAUGUCCUGUCUUUCCACACCCAAAAUAGGUAUCACUGUCAACUCUACAAGUACCCUAAUGGUUCUUGCCACAAGUCUGACAAAGGAGAAAGGUGCGGGCACUACUAAAACUGCCCUGAGACUUAGAGCCUGGCGUUCUAUCGCUGAACUUAGGCACAGGAGCAUAAGCGAAAGAAGUAGAUGGAACUGAGGACUUGGGACGAAUUGAGAAUGGUUUUCUCCUUCUGAUUUAGGCUAAGUAAAGUUAAAACUACCUAUCCUUGAUUUCUUAUUCUACUUCUCCCUCAUCUUAAUCUUCUGCUCCUUUAUCUACUGAGCAUGAGUCAUAAGCCUGGCUAAAGUCAUGUCACUAUUCAGCAUAGGGGAUCUACACUCAUUAACCAUGCUAUUAUUUACCCCUGAAAUAAACUUACUCAUCUUGGUCCUGCUAUCUACCACCAAAAUGAGGAGCAUAUCUGGCUAAUUGAGUAACCUUAAGAGAAUACUCUUUCACUGUUAUGUUUCCCUACCUGAGGUUGAUGAAUUCUAGCACCUUAGCUUCUCUAAGCUCUAGGGGAAAGAAUCUAUCAAGGAAAGCAGAAGCAACCUCCUUCCACUCAACUGACCCUGCAUCAACUGCCCUCUCUGACUUCCACUGUGUGAACCAAGUGUGAGAAAUAUCUUGCAACUAAUAUGCAGCUAGCUAAGCACUCUUACUAGAAGUAACCCCCAUGAUAUUUGUAACUUCUGCACCUAAUCUAGGAAUUCCUAAGGGUCCUCAUCUGCCUUAGACCUGAGAAAAGAUGAAGGAUUCAUUUGGGUGAAGUCCCAAAUCUUGGCUGCAGCUAAAUUGGCCACUGGGUUGGCCAGAAUGAUAGCUGGUCAUUCAUUUUGCGUAGCAACUGACUGAGCAAGAGUAGUGAAUACAGCUUUGAACUCUACAUGAGAAAUAUAUUUGUCCAAGGGAUCUUCUUAGACAGGCUGAGUUCUUCUCUUGGGAUCAUAUUCUGAAAUAAAGAGAAGAAAUGAAUUAUACUGAGAUAUUGACUUGAGAUUAUGCUCUCUGGCAUGACAUGAAUACUGAAAGAAGAAAAACUAUUACUCAAAUAUCUUAUAGCCUCUUGCACAUAAUUGUGGCAUGCAAUACACCCAAGCACUAUACUCUAAUAAAUGCGGCUUUCAGACUUCCUAAGACUCUAUUGAACCUCAGGAUCUGAUACCAAGUUUGUAACAUCCUAAAUAUGGUACCCAAAAUGCUACACGAUGCUCAUGACCCUGAAGGACCACAAGCUAACCCAUGAAUGAUAUCUGUACCUGUAUACUACAUAAUAUGCUAUAUAAUGUGAAAAUAUGAACAAAAAGGCCAUAAGUUCAAAACUGUAACAUAACUGAUAAAAAUAUAACAUUUGGAUGGGGUAUGAAAUACCCAAAACAACUGAAAUAAUUGUUUGAUAAUGAUAGUCUGAAAAGCCUCUAACUGACUAGACUGUCUGAAUAAGGCAUUGAUGUGAUAUGUCCCCAACUAACUCCAACUAAUAAAUUAAUUAAUGAGAUAAUAAAGUAAUGAUUAUAUCCUCGAAAUAUGAGGACUCACUGCUAACUCUAACUACUGAGAAUAGAAUCUAUUGAUGCUCUAGAGAUCGUGUCUCAAAACCUAUAGUAUAAGACACCAUAGCGCAAAUGUGUUAGUACUUUUGAAUGUACUAUUACGCAUGUGAGGUAGGCUAAAUGCAUGGGGUUCAUAUACAUGAACAAUACUGGCUAACUGACUAAUAUGAACGUCAGAAUACAUGCAUGCAUACAUUGUAACUAUAUCUAAAAUUAUGAUAACAUGAGUUUACUACUAAGUGACAUAACUAAUGAAUGAGUUCAGAUAACUGAUAACAUGGGUGACUGUAUCUAACAGUCCUGAAUCUGAUGGAACUAGCUAAAUUCUAUACUAUAUCUGAGUUGACUGUAUUUGAAAGUCCUGAAUUCUAUAACAUGAAACUGUGCGAAGUAGUCAUCUAACCGAAAUUCCCUAAAUAAUGUAUUAUAGCUAAAUUGGGGUCCAAUCUGUGCCCUAAUUAGAAGGGUGUCAAUAUCGCGCCACUGGUAAGGACAACAUGUGAGUGACCCUCAACUAGUAGGUUACUCUAAUGAGAAUGGUGGUAACCCUCAACUAGCAAGUUAGGCCACGUUAUCUACCCUCAGGUAUGAUAUCUCAACCUACGCUAGCUACGUAGUUUUGGAAUGCAAAGAUUGCUUCUAAGAAUCACACCCUUUACUGGAAGGUGAGUUCCUAUCCUUGGAUUCACUCAGUGCUAAUUUCUACUCCCAUCUAAAUAGAUACUGAACAUGAUUGGCUGAUUUGAACAUAGACUAAGUUUACUAAAUUUCGUUAAUCGACGAAAUACUAUUGAUAUCUGACAACUAACGGAGUUCAUGAGAUUACUGAGGUUACUGAAUUACUAAUCUUUCCUGGGUCACAUGACUGACUAAGUUCUAUGGAUCAUGGCUUAACCGAGGAUAUCAUGAAAACAUAACACUGGUUGUAGGCAUACAGCUAAAUUGUUAGGUACAGGUACCCCCAGGACUCGAUGGAAAGAAACUGGCAAAGCAUGACUUUCUUAAAUACAUGACCAACAUCGCAAUCUAUAAUUCAUUUAUUUAGGCAAUUCAUCAAACAUGUGAUAUGCAUAAGCUUGUACAUAAAUGGGGAUUUCAUAAGAUCAUACUAGUUGGGCAUUUUUUCCUUUCACAUAGGAAUUUAAUCAAACACAUGGUAGGCAUAGUAUAUGUAGACAACAUUAUAUAACAAAUAAACAUCAUGAUUCAAUGCUAAUUUCAUCAUCACAGGGUUUAAUCAUAGGUCCAUGUAAAUCUACAUCUAUUUUAAUCAAUUCCACAUAAAAUUUAUCAUCCAACAUGGAUUAGAAUCUAAUUAGUCAUUCUCAACAAGAACAAAAGCAACCUAACAUAAAAUACAUAAAGAAAUCCAAACAUUUAAACUUUGAAAAGAGAUUCUUGGGCUUCAUGGUUGAAAGGAGUCCAUGAAUGAACACUAUGCAUACCUGGGUUGAGUUUCUUAAAGUUCUUGAACUUGAAGUAUUUGAAUCUCUUAGUUUUUGGAGAAGAUUUGGAUUUUGUUCUUGGGGAUUAAUCUUAGAGAGAAAACCUUAAUUUUGUUGUUGUAGAUGUAUAAUGAAUUUUUGGGCUUUGGUCGGAUAUAACUAUGUCUAUAAACGGGUGGUAAAAUUCCAAAAAUCCCCUUUAAAAUAACUUUAAAAUAACUAAACGGAACAUGCGACGGUAGGUGCGAUGGUCCGUCGCUGGGUUGAUGGUCCGUCGGACUGACCAUGGUACUAGAACCAGAAAUGGAACUUACUGCCUUGGUGCGAUGGUAGGUUGCAAUGGUCCAUCACUGGGUCGAUGGUCCGUUGGUCCUGGCUAUCGCUUCUAGGCAGAAUUGGGGCUCACUGCUUCUCUUGCGAUGGCCUGAGCGACUGUCCGUCGCUAGUUCGAUGGUCCAUCGGCCUGGGAAGUCAAUCUAAGAAAGAAGGUAGUCACACUACCUCACUACGACAGUCGUAUGCGACGGUCCAUCGCUAGUCUGACGGUCCAUCGGCCUCACCGUCACACCUGGGUGGUUUUAUUACCUCCUGUAUUUCGGCCAUAAAUUUCUAUUCUGAUGUCAAAUUUUGAUGAAAUUGGUAUCGAUGGAAAUCUUAUUCAAUUUCCCACAUGACAAAAUAUGAAGAUUUUAAAAAUACCGCUUGUACAAAAGUGGAUUCAUCUUUCAAAGAAAGCUUCUAAUAUUCUUGGGAUAAUUUCAAGCUAGGAAAAAGUACGGGGUAUUACACCUCAAUGGAGGUUCAGUAUUGAAGUGGAAUGUAUAGUUGAGGGAGUAUUUGAGGAGUAUGUAUCAUCUUGAAAGUAGCAGUUUCAUGGUCUAAGGCAUAGCAAUUCUAUCCUAGCUCAUGUUUAAUAGGCCUAUGUUCCAUGUUAGAGAAUUAUAGCCAUAUUGUGAUUCCUUAUUUAGAUAUCUAAUUUAAAUCAUGCCUAAUAUUAUUUUCUCCCUAAUAUUAUUAUAUCUUAUUAGAAAGGGCGUUGAAGAAAUACUUCAGUUGAGUAUAAGCUUCUAGUGUGUGUUAGUCCAUAUAGCCAGCAAUUUAAUUUAGAAGUCAGACAGAUAAGCUCUUAUGGUUUUCCAUCUUUCCAUCUAGUCAUACUAUCCGAAGUCUCAUGAAUAUGGCUAUUCUAAGUGUUAAAUCAUUUGCAUCUAUGCAAUUUACGAAUUUAUCUCAGUUCAUGCAUUAUACAUCAAUUUUAGAUUCCAAAUAUUUAGUCAUAAUUCAGUUUGUAAUUGUCUCGUGCAUCAUCUCAGUCUUUUCUUAGUAUUUCAGCCAAGUAAGUAUCAUUCGAGGGAUGAAAUAUCCUAAGAGGGAGAUGUUGUAUUUCCCUGAGUUUCCAUGUCCUAAACCUCUCAUCGUUUAUUUACGAAACUAGAUCCAAUUUGAGGUAAUGGUUACUCAUAAGUUGACUCUCUUAUUUCUAUCUCAACCUUAUAACCAUUCUCAUCUCAUUGCAUGUAUUCACAAAAUUAGUUCAGUUCAUGUAUCAUGUUUCAGACUCAGUUAUGUAAUCAUGUUUUCAGUCAUGCAUGUUCAGUAUAAGAUCUCAGUUUCCCCUGUGUUCUCAGCUAACUAUCCUUAUUCAAGGAUGAAUAUUCCCAAGGGGGAGAUAUUAUAACACCCCAUAAAAGUCAUAGCUCAAUUCAGCUCUCAGUUGCAUGUUUAAGGGGUCCUAAGCUUGGAAAUUUCACUAGGUGUUGAGGACUUAGUUACUUUCAAUACCACUAGACUUUAUGGAUUUUUAAAUCGACCUUCCUGACCCAGAAGUGUUGUUUUUUAAGUUGAUUCAUGUUUACAGAUGUCAAAAGUUCAUGUCAGGUGAGUUUCAGAAUUUUCAGACGAGCAUAGGGGCGUAUUUGGAGAAGCAAACUAGUGAGGCCACCUAGAUAAGUCCGCGUCGCCUGGGCUAGUCCAACGGGAUAAGGCCCGCGUCGCCUAGGCUAGUCCAACAGCAUAGAGCCCGUGUCACCUGGUACCUAUAUGUUCAGCUUUUGAUUUAAAUGCUCAAGGAGUAUUUGGGUUAUUUCCCAUCACCCAAAUCGUCCAUCAUCAUAAAUUGGGCUCCCAAGGAGCAUUAUUGGUAGUUUUUCUCACAAAAUCUCUCUCUUUCCUCAAGAACAAACCCUAACCCUUUUACAAAAGAUUAAGGAAUUCAAGCUUUAAUUUCAAAAAACCCUCAAGAAAUCUUCAAGGUAUCAUCUAUUAAGGUAUGUGGGAGUUCAUCCAUGGGUCCCCUUUCACCCAUAAAGCCCAAGAACCCUUUUUUGUUUUAAAUUAUAAGUUUUACAUAUUUAAGUUAAACUAUCUCCAUGAAUAUCUUGUUAAUUCAAUUUCAAGUUAUGAUUAUAAGUGUUUAAGUGGAAUAAGUCAUAUUAUGUAUUGAAUGUUCUAAUUCCCAUGUCAUGUUAACUUGAUUCAGAAUAAAUCCCCAAGUUAUGAUUUAUUCCAUGAAAUCCUAUUGUUUUCCUCAUGUUUAAGAUAUUCUCAUAUAUAAGCUUAUGAUUCUUACGUGUUUGAUGAAAUUCUCAUGUUUUGGGUCUUUGAACCAUGAUUCCCAUACUUCAGUUUUAAGUAUUGAUAUCGUGCUUUAUGGUCAUUUAGUGCUGGCGAGUUAUACCUAUGUGUUUUUACAUAUUUUUAUUUUCAAGUAACAAGUCAGUCAGAAUCAUGAUUUUAUUCCUAUAUUCAGAUUAUCAUUUUUAUAUUGAACACGCCUAUUUUACUUCAAGUUAAAUACAUCAAUUUGAAUGUUCAUGGUUGCUUUAAAUUAUGCAUGUACUGUCAGUUCUUAGAAUAUCAUGACCUGAGCUUAUCAGGUAUCAGUUAUCAGUGAAUGCACCAGUUUGUAUUUUAGUGUAUUUCAGUUGGGAGUAGGAUUUAGUAUAGAACAAAUGUAGGGAUGGAGUCUCCCCCAUCACUUAGGCAUGCAAUGUUAGUAGCUGCCCCUAAGGUCCAGACCUAUGACCCCACCGUAGAUUUUGAUGGGUCCCCCAUCAAUUAGGCAUGACACCCUCGUCCUUUGGGACAUCAUUUUAGUUAUCUGUAUAGUUCAGUUUCUAUUACUAUUGCAAAGAUAGAACAGCCCUCCUUAACGUAGGUCAGACGUCAGACUUCGUGAUAUCCCACAUAGUUUAUGUCGGUUAUAUGAAACCUCCCAAAGUUUCAGUCAGUAUUCAGUGUAUUUUCAGUUCAAUUUUGCUUGACUAAGUUUGCAUACUUGUAGAUAUUCGGUUAAACAGAUUUCAAUCUUUCAGAAUUACAGAUUAUCUCCGUAGCAUAAAAGAUAUACACUUAGUCUUGCAUUCUCUUAUAUUAUGUUUUUCAUGCAUUCAUUCUUAGUUAUCUUAUGUUUUUUAGUUAGUCCUUAUCUCAAACGCAUAGUACCCUACAAUUUCAAUUUAGUUAUUCAGACUAAGCACAGUUCAGUUUUACAUGACCAGUAUUCAAUUAUCAGUUAAUCAAUACUGUUAUCAGUUAAUUAGUAUACAAAUACCAGCUAAUCAGUAUCCUGAUACCAGUUAUUCAGUAUUCAGAUGUCAGAUCUUUAGUAUUCAGCUAUCAGUUAUUCAGUUGAUCGGAUCAGUUGAGUAUAUGUUAUGUUUAGUUUUGUAUGUUUUUGCAUUCGUGCUCAGUAUAUUUGUAUAUUCAAAUCCUCGAGUUAUGUCAAUUUCCAUCAUGCAGUUUCUAACCCAGUAUUCAUACAGUAUCCAUAUUUACUGUUUCCAGCUUCAGUUCUACUUAUUUUAUGAAAGAAGAGAUUUCAGAAACUAAGUGUAGUGACUUACUAGCUUAUCAGGUUUUGUUUGUUAAUCAUGUUUUAAUAUAUACCAUCUUUCAGCUUAUUUCAAUCUCUUGGUGAGUCCACUUACACUUAGUAUGCAUGUUUAAGAUAAUGCAUAAACUCAGUUUUACUUAUUGGAUUCACCGCCACUUACUCAGUACAUUCUAGAAGUACUGAUCCACAUAUAGUUUUGUAUGGAUACAUUGUUUCAUAAUGUAGGUACCAGUUGUAGCCCACACAUCAAGGUCAGACGAUUGCAGUUUCUAGCCAGCAGGUGAUGAGUUCUCCUAUUUUGGGGACCCUAGCCAGAUGUUAAUCAUGUACUUUAUUUUUAAUUAUUAUUCAUAUGUAUUGAUUAGUGGUAGUUGGAGGCAUAUCCCAGCUAUCUAUAUUCAAUAUAGUAGAGGCUUCAUAUAUGUCAUCCAAAGUCAGUCAUGUAAUUUCAGUUUCUCUCUUCAAAUUUAUCAGAUUGUAAACAUUAUUUGUUACAUAAUUAUCCAGAUUUCAUUAUGAUUAUGUUUCUGCAUAGCAGGACUAGCUAUUUAAUACAUAAUAAAUCAGUUGCUCAAGCAAUAUACCAGUUCAUGGGUUAGCUUGGGAUCACUUAUGGUUUCAAGCACCGUGUUACGACUAAGGGUUAGCCUCGGGUCAUGACAGAAAUCCAUAUAUUAUCUCCUCAAUCCAUAUAUGAACUUCCUCAUGUAGUCCCUUAUUUUGCCCACCAACUCUAGAGCAUAACGAGAUAGCUAGGUGAACUUCAAUGCGUAUUUGUUGACACUUAUCUUUCCUUAUUUUAGGUUCACAAAUUAUUUGGCUUUUUCUUCACUCGGUUCCUAGGGAAAGAAAUGAUCUAGGAAAACCUCCACAAACUCUCCCCAAGCAGAAGGUUCAGCAUCUCCACCCUUCAAAGCUUCCCACUCGUUAUACCACUUGUUAGCUACAUCCUUCAACUAAUAGGUUGCCAACUACACCCCCUUAAUCUCAUUAGUAUGCAUAACUCUAAAAAUCUUCUCUGAUUCAUGAAUAACCCUUGUGUCACUCCUUAAUCUUUGUGCCAGUAAAGAUGGGUGGGUUCAGCCUCAUGAAUUGGCCAACUCGAGUAAUUUCAGACGAACCAAAUAUAGAACCCAUAUCUUCAGACUUAUGGGUCAGAGAGGCCACAAGUUGAGAAACCAUAUGGAUGGACAACUAGAACUUAACAUUCGAGACUUCACUCUAAUGAGGCUGGGUAUAGUUAACACCAAACCGAUGAGCCAGAUAUGGACUAGUUUGGAUAGGAAGAGCUCCUGGAUUAGUAACAAACUCUGGAGCAUGAGCUCUAUUACGAGUCCAGAUUCCAUGAGAAGGGAGGACAUUAUUAGCAUAGGUAUUCUGCUCGUUGGAUCUAUGGAGAGGCAUGAUCAAUCCCUGAAAUAUAGGAAACAAUAAGUUAGGGGACAUUCAGACUCUAUAGCAUGAAAUUAAACAUUAAGAAAAGAGAGACAUUCCUAAAUGCUUAGUAGCUUCCUCCAUAUAAGUGUGGCGCACUACACACCCAUAAAAAGGACUCUACUCUAUGCAACUUUGUAGACACCCUGGGACCAUGAACUAGGCUUUGAUAGCAAGUUUGUCACGACCUAAUCCGGGGCCCUAGCCGCAAUGGCAUCUCAAAUCGUGAAGGCUCGAGAGCUCUCUUACAUUGUACUCAUAUGCAUAAUUCAUCAGAUAAUAAAAAUUUAGAAGCAAACUGAAAUCAUGUCCAUCUUAUUAAUUCAACUAAACAACAAAACCAUCUAACACAGGUCUGAGAAAUCUCUACUAAACUGAAACACAUCUGUUUGAAAUCGAGAGAAGGCCCUCGGUCGGAUUAUGAACUAAAACCAAAUAAAAAACAUUACAUGAAAUAAGGCCUUCCAAAAUAAGGGAGGCUCACCAACUUGAAAAUUCUAACAACAACCUACUGCUUAGCGCAUCCAUGGGACUGAGCUUCAGAUCCUGAAAUAUAGGGGUCAAUACAUAAUGCACUGGUACAUAGAACAAUCCAAAAAUAAAAUAUAUUUUUAUAGAACUUAGAGGUGAUCAUUUAGUAAAACAUGUCAAUGUAAAACCUUUGAAAACACAUGGGCAUAAUCUAAUAAAUUUCAAAACUUUCUCGAAAUCAUGACUCUACUCUUUAUUUCUCUUCUAAGCUAGAUGCUACACCAGACAACCUGUAAUUCCACGAGCUACAUGGAAUCUGCCAUGGACUCGGCGGCCAAGCCCCCAACCCAAGUUUGUCACAAGGGUUGGAGUCUCUGCAUCUCUACUACGCCACUAGGCCAUCGCAAAAGUAUAAUCCCUAAGUUAGGAAAAUCAUGAACCCAUGUCGGCAAAUUACUUUUUGGGCAAUAAGUUAUUUAACUAGUGCCUCUUUGGGUAACCAUCUAACUCUCUUAAGCCCAGUUUUAGACUCUUUAAAACAUGUCACCUUUUUAUACUUGUUUCUCUUUUAUUCUGUUUUGGGCACAUCACAGUAGGGUAUCGUCAUACCCAGACUUGCAAGUCUUAUAUUCAUAUCACAAUAUCUCUACUGCCCAUCUUAUUUCAAAAUGUAUUAUUAACCAGCCCAAAAGAUGUAAAGGUCAGGCGUGAGUUCAUACUUUUAAAGCAUAUGAAAAACAAACCACUUUCUUUCUUCUAUACUUUUUUUCUACGGUGGUUAUCUCAUGUAUCAAAUAAAUGCAAUUCCCAAUUGGAAAUAUAAACACUUAUAAAUCAAGGAAAAGCACCUUCUCAUUUAACCAUAACAAUAGUACAAUUUAUACAUGAUAGAAAACCUUCAAACUCAAGCUUUUUGCAAUCUGUACAAUCAUCCCCCAAUAUGUAAAAACAAUGGUUUUCAUAAUAAGAGAGGGAAAUUAAAUAAAUCAUGCUCUCAUUUAUUUUCACAAACUCAAUAUCACACCAUAAUUUCUACAAAACUUAUCAAAAUAUGGGAUUUUUAAUGUGUGUACAUCAAUACAUUUGAAACCAAUUUCGUAUGUAUAAGUAUAUAUUCUUUAAAGCUUGUUUAAAAACAGUGAAUCCAUGCCCAUGAGUUUAGGAUAAUCCCAUGUACCUUAAGUUUUUUAGUUUGAAGAAUGAAACCCUAAUCUGUCUAUUUUCUUGCGAUUCUUGAACUUGAGAGGAUUAAAUUCUUGUUUUAGGGGAUAAGGGAAGGGUUUACUUGAGAGUAUACUUGAUGAGAAUGGAAAAUAUUUGGCCUAAAUAAUGAUAUAAUCCAUCAAUUUAGGAAUUGGAAUAAGAGGAAAAUACCGCAUUGCCCUUCAGGCAAUUAAAUUCGUGACUGGAACGCCGAUGACAAGGUCACCGCUAUGCGGAGAAGGUCUCACUGCUAUUCCACCACGACGCACCUAUAUCGCAGUGAAGUUCUGGAACUGAAACUAAACACAACCCAAUCCCCGUCCGAAAAAUUUGAAACUUUCCCGAUACAUGCCCCUUACACCUCUGAGCAUGAGUUAACUCAAAAAUUUAUAUCUCGGGGUCGGAAAACCAAUUUAAAAAUACUUGACGUUAAGAGGCUUAAAAUAUGACUAAGUCCCCAACAUAUUAGAAAAUUUUUCAGGCCUUAAACUCCUUAUGCAUGCAACUAAGAGCUGAAUCAAGCCAAAAUAACCCGAGGUAUUACAAUAGUUCGCUAGCACUAACAGCCUGUGGAGUUAUGAAGUCAUGGGGAUCACAAUCCUAGUGCUUAACUCACAUUGAUGAAAAUCCAAUUACCAACAAUUGUUAUUGUUACCACUAGUUCUCACAAAAUUUCACAAUAAGAGACUCACAACUCAUAUCAAGACCCAAUGCAAAAUAUGCAGACAUAUUUGAUAAAGUAGAACCAAGAUCAAAUAUUACUGAAGUUUGUCAAGAGCAUAUCGAAACCAAAACUAUGACCAUGGCUUUGGAGGCUCCUACCUCUGGUGCAGGAAUUUGAGAACACCGAUACCACCUAGAGUACCUAAUAAAAGGGUAAUGCUUUCUUUAGUGCCUAUGAGAUUGAAUCUGAUAAGAAGAGUCUAAACAAACUGAAAAACUUCCAAGGCUUAAGGUCCUAGCCAACAACUCAUGAGAAUCCUACCCCAUACCAUUAGUACCAUUGCUACUACUGAGUGUAUAACUUUUUGUUUGUGUACUCCUUAUGCCUAAAAACAAAAUCCUUCAAAAGCUCUUGAGUAAAUUGACCCCAUGGGAGAGAAGGUGACCUAACUGGCCUACCCUCAACAAUAAUACUCCACCACUAUUUGACUAGCCUAAACAAUUGAAAGGUAUUGAAUUCUACUUCAUUAGAGCCUACUAAUCCCAACAGAUACAAUCUCUUAUGGUAACCAACCAAAAACCUAUAAGCAUUGACGCUGGGAUCCCCAUUGAACUGUGGGGAAUCCAUCUUCAUGAAAUCCUCGAAUAUUAUUCGUCCCUCACAUAGUAGGAAGAUCAUUGGGUGUGGAGAAAUGCCCAACAAUAACACACCAAUACUAGAAGAAUCUAUGGCAGUGACUGUGUCUCUUGAGUCUUCCCAGAUAUUUUUAAAGGCAUUCAUGGGAGAGGCAUAAGCAAAAUGCAUCAAGUAUUAUGGGGAAGUGAAAUCAUUAAAAGUUGUAUAUCCCACUAUUAGGGGUGUUUUCCUAAGAGUGAGGCAUAGAUUUGUCCUUGGGUUCAAGCCUAAAAAGCUUUACAAAUCAAAAUAUUUUUUCCCAAUUAAAUCUCUAAUUUAUACUUAAUACUAAAAUAUCCAAUUAAUAAAUAAUUAAAAGAAAAAAAAUAAAAGUAAAAGAAUACUUUAAAGUCACACUUUCAAACGUAUUUAAUAUUUAACCCAAGUACCGAACUUUUUUCUAUUAAAAUAUUCUAACUUUCUGUUCGUUUUGUUCCCAGAUGAAGGAUUGAUUAAUUUUGUACUAUUUUUUUAGACAAGCUUGGUUUUUAGGGUAUUUAAUAGUUUAUUGUAUUAAGAGAUGAUUUUAUAUAUUGGCUUUAUUGUGUGGCUUUGAUUAGUUCUUUUUUAACCUGAAGCGUCUUUAGAUAUAUCUUCCACUUAUUUUUUUUUAUAAUUUUGAUGUAGUUUUACUUUUUCCUGAUUUAUAUAUUUUAAAAAUAUUCAUUUCUAAUUUAUUAAUUUAUAAAAUUUUAAAAGAUAAAUGAUCCGAGGGGCUUACUUCCCAUGGUCUCAGCACUUAGUCUCGCCCCUUACUAUGUAAAAUGGCUUACCUUACACCCAGUAUUUAAAAAUAUUGGUAAUGUGCUUAUGGAAGUUUGAGUCAUUCCCUCAAAACAACUUAGAAUCCUUACCAAGACAUUCGGAAGCACAAGAAUGGAAAUGAAACCAAGUGGUAUCUAUGCUAAACUCAACUCAUUUGCCCUAAUCAAACCAUCAUUAUGAGUAACUCCUGACCCCAAAUGUGACCCUAGCAUGACACCUAGCUAACUUUAUGCUUACGCUCUACCUUUUUCAUGCACCAAGGGUACGGACUCGAAUCUCUAGCAAACGCAAAUGUGUCCUUGCCAUCUUUGAGAGAAUGGAUUAGAGUUCUAGAGCUAUAUCAGGUUGUGAGUACAGGAUAAGGUAUUAGAAAGUAGAAUUUUCCUAAGAUCCUAUAGGAUCUCAAAGAGAAAUAAUGGAUGUCUCCGCACUAAUCCUCAAGACUCUACUUAACUCGGCUUGUACUUGUGAGACUAAGUUACUAAGUGCUCUAAUACCAACUUGUCAUGACCUAAAACUCAAGUCAUAAUGACAACUAUCCCUCCGCUCAUGGUAGGUAAGCCAAACCUAAUAAGUUUCAAACUAAAUUGCAUCAACCAAAUGUCAAGAAUCAUGGAUAACAAUUAAAUCCCCUAAAAAUUUAGAAAUCACACAGUAAACCUCUAGAGUAAGAAAAUACAUAUGAAGGUACGUAGUAUCUUGGUACAACAGAGAAUGUCAAAAAGAAACUGAAGAGAUCUGGUAGAAUUUUCAGUCAAUUAGUUACAGCCUCUAAAUAUCAAGGAAAUACCCAAACACAAACGACUCAGUGUCCAAGGACAAUUGGUUGCACACAUGCACAUAAAGUGAAGAAAUACAAAAGUAUGAGUACCAAGCCAUAUGUACUCAAUAAUAUCGUCGACCGACCCUAAUUCAAAGUGAUGGGAAAACUACCUAAAAGACUACUACUGACAUAUCCUUGAAUACCUGCUGAUCAGGAAAGCCACACCUAAUCUAGCAGUUAAACAAGAAAAAGUAAAACACCUCAAAAUCAGGACAAAAUUAUCAGGAUACCUAAUUACUAUUCAUAACAACAACAAUAACAACCAAAUGUAAAUGAUGAGAUAAAUGCAAUAUGAUGCAAGGUAUGCUACAUUAUACACCAGAUACUCAUAGCUAGUUGGGACAUAUAGAGAACUUGUAAGGUUUUGUCAUGACCCAACCUAUCGAGUCGUAUCGGGCUCCUACUUACACCUACCUCAGAUGGAAAAAUCUUGAUAAUUCCAUGAAUCAAACAAAUCAAAAGUUAAAUCAUAAAUACUUAAUUAUUUUAAAGUUCACAAUCUGAAUGCCUAAUCGAUUUAAUAUAAUGAUACUCGCUUAUACAUAAGGUAUGAAAACAAAAUGCAAAAAAUAAUUACAAGUGACUCCCUAUAACUUAGUCUAAACUGGUACAAAACCACUAACCAAGGAGUAGGGACACAUGACAUAGCAUCCAUGUAGAACAAAAAUAGUAGGAGUUGAUUCUAAGUGAUCAGUGUUGUUACUAUAGAAACUCCAACUAACCUGUACCAUAAAUAUACCCCCGAUUGGAGAUAUAGAAAGUGUAGCAUCAGUACAACCAUGCAUACUGGUAAACAUCAUCGACCGAUCAGGGUUAGAAACAAAUAACAUCAAUAAUAAAUAGGGAGAAUCACAACUUUAAGUAAGUUCUGAUUUUUACUACCCAAACUAUCAUCUCUUAUUAACCCACAUUUAGCAUUUUUGUGACAUAUACUUAGUAUCUCUGUGACCUGCACUUAGCAUCUAUGCGGCCGAUACUUAAUAUCUAUGCGGCCUAUACAUACCAUCUUUAUGACCUGCACUUAGCAUCUCUGUGACCUACCUGUUAUUUAAUAUUUUUAUAUAUCAUUAUCCUUUAACUGUCCACUCCAAUCGGUACUAUUUCCCUAUCUCAUCGGCUCAUUUUCAUGAUACUUGCAAUUUUUUAAGCUAUAAUCAAUCAGGUCCUCUCGGUAAUUGCAAGUACUCGACACUACAAUGGAAUCUCACUUCUUACGCGGUCAGCACAAAGGACCUUAUUUACCUUUGCAAGCAUUUCCCAUAAUUCACUACAACAAGGCAAUAGGUAGGAGAACAUAUAUAUAUAUACAUACAUACACAUCAAUUAAAACCACGUUCAAACCUAUUAAUGAAUGAAUACGUAGAAGAUGUGUGCAUCAUAUCUUCUUAUUCCAUCAACAUAAUAAUAUACUGGCUUGGUACCCGACCAUUAUACCAUAUCAUAUCGGUGUGGUACCCAAUCCAUCACCUCAAUAUCUCAUCACAAUGCAUAUGAAUGUAUGCAAGAAUUCAAUAAAUCAUAACUCAUGCAAAAGAUAGUAACAAGUGUCAACCCACAAUGUGUCACGAUCAAUUUAGUCUACCAUUACAUCCCCGUCUAAUAUUUAUUCGGUGACCUUAGUUCUCGCAUAAAUAUCAUAAUCACGAUUGUCAACUCCCAAGUUCAUAUUAUUAUGCAUUUUUCCUUCGAUUGUAUCCUAACCUCGAUAUUUCACAUUACACUUGAAAUCAUGGCAACAUUAAUUUGGGGAUGACAUGAACAGCCAUAGCAUACAGUCAUCCAGUUAACCUCAAUAUGUUUUUAGUCACUAUCUUAUCUUCUGACUAUCUUUUUUACUCACUAGCUCAUCUUCUAACAAAACCUUUUUACUCACUAUCUCAUCUUCUAAACUCUGAAAAGAAUUAUUCAUGACCAACAAGGCAUUGGGACUAAACAAGCCCCAUAACACAACUCACAUGUUUAAUCAAUUAAACAUUAGUCGAGCAAUCUAACUUUUUGUUUGACCAUUAACUUUCCAUUUUACCAUUUUAUAUUAUUUCACUCAACCUUCCACCAUACUCCAUCCAAAGUGAUAAUCAACUACACAUCUCAGCCUUGUAUUUCUAACUGUCACACAUUUUGAACAACCUUUAACAAAAGAUACAAUAAAUUGCAUAUUCAAGACUACCCGAAUUUUAACAUGCCAAACAAAUCAACUAUGUACCUGAAGGCCUAAUGUAUAAUACUCCCGAUAUUAUAAUUAAUAUUAAAUACAUCUAGUUCAAGUCUAGUAGCUAUAAUUUAAUUAAACCUUAGCUUUCCUCUUAUAAGAAAUAUACUGCUACGGAGUGGAGUGAGUUUCCCCCCAUGUGCUAGACGUAUUUUCAUAUCGGGUUCCCCCCAAGUAUGCCUCGAGACUGCUCUCAUGAAUCAAGGCCUUUAAAACCUUAUGGUUAGGGAGUUAAGAGUUUUUUGGAGUGCUUUUAGAGAAGAAGGACAACCUAGAAGGAAGGUUUUUGAAUUUUCCCGUCAACACACUAUUUUCUACCGCUGCAGCAGAUCUUUUAUCGCUACAGCGGCUACCAAUAGUACAACACAGCCCUUUAUUGGUCCAAGUUACCUUAGGUCUUAUUUUUCUCUCUGAUUUAAAUUUUUUUUUAAUCUAUUUCGAGCCUAUUCUUUAUUGUAAAGUAUUUGGGGGCACAUGUAGCAACGAUUUGGGUCGUUACUGGUCCAUAUACCCACCUAGAAUAGUUUUCUAUUGGGCAUGUAAAUCAGAAUUUCCAUUAAUAUCAUGAAUAACUAAAUCUAGUCGAUAUAAUUUUCCGAUCAUAUAAGUCAUAAAAUCAGUAAAAAUCCACCCAGAACACUUUCUCAUCAGGCAUGCAAAUUAUAAAACACUGGAAAUCCAUGUGGUAUACUUUUUCAUCUGACAUGCAAAUCAUUACAAAAUAUUAUUCUCAAUAAUAUCUCCUUUAACCAUGCCAUGAAAUAAAUAUGAGUGGACAUGCUUGAUUCACAAUAAAUAAGAGAAACGUAAAUAUCUCAAUCCGGGCACACAAAGUCAUAUUCAGCUUAAAACAUCAUCUAUAAGCCUUAAUAUCAUUAAUAUCUUUCAAUUUACUUAAGACACAAUCAUAAGGGAAGGUACGAUUAAUAUCAACAACCAUCAUGUCCAUUAAUAUCACUAUCCCUUUCUUUAGACUUUAGUCAAUCUAUUAAGAAUAGUUGAAGAUAAUCCAAUCAAGUCAAUCAUUUAUUUAACCCUUUUAUAAAACACAGUUACCCGCAUAGGUGCUAGUUGUCUCAUCUAUAUGUGUAAUGCCUCGAUUUUCUAAACCAAAAUGCUACACAGUGCCCAUGACCCCGAAGGACCACAAGCUAACCCAUGACUUAUAUCUGUACUUGAGCACUGAAUAACCAUACUAUAAAAUAUGUGAAAACAUAAUACUGUAAGGCCAUAAGGUUCAAAUCUGAAUAAAUAUCUAAUAAAAUAAUAUCUAAAAAUGGUAUAACAAUACCAAUAUAAAUCUAAAAUAAUUGUCUAAUAUGUUGUAGUCUGAAAACCUCUAAACUGAACAGAUAAAGAGUUGAGGGGACGUAUUCCCAACUAACUCCGUCUACUGAAAUAAACUGAAAACUAAAAUAGUGAUAUGAAUAAUAACAUAAUUGUCCUUGAAGGAUGAGGACUCAGUGUUAAUUACUGCUGCUGGCUGAGUGUUAAUUACUGCUGCUGGCUGACUCUAAAAUUACUAAGGGAGCUCUGGAUCCCGUGCUUCCAAACCUAUGGUAUAAGACACCAUAGCGCGAGAAAAGUAUGCGUCAGUACUUUAAAUGUACUAGUAUGCAAGUGAGGUAGGCUGAAUGCAUGGGGUUCAUAUGUAUGAACAAUACUUACUAACAUGAACGUGAGCAUACAUGCAUGAAUACAUAAUAACUAUAACUGAAACUGUACUUGUACUGGAUACUGAAUUCUGUGUACUGAUUUAUUGACAUCUGAGUUUAUUGAAUAAAGAGGAACUAAUGUUAUAUUACUGAUAAAGAAAAUGAUUAUUUCUAAUAGUUUUGAUUAUGAAGAACUGAUCUGAUUGACCGUAUAUAACAAUCCUGAAACUAAGUUCGUGAUAAUAUGACUACUGAGUAUGAAUACUGAUGACAUAUAUUUACUGAUAACAUAUCAUGACUGAUAACUGAAUUCUGAUAACUGAUAUAUCUGAUAACAUGAGUUCUGAUAACUGAUAGCAUGAAUGAUUGUAUCUAACAGUCCUGAAUCUGAUGGAACUAGUUGCGUUCCGUACUAUAUUUGAGUUAACUGUAUCUGUCAGUCCUGAUAUCCUGAAGAACUAUCUGAGUUCUUUUACUGAGACUAAUACUAAAACUAUGGUAAGUAGUUAUCUAACCGACAUACCCCAAAUAUGCUAUAAUAGCUAAGCUGGGGUCCAAUCUCUACCCUGAUUAGAAGGGUGUUAAUACCGUGCCACUGGUAAGGACAAACUGUGAGCGACCCUCAUCUGGCAGGUACUCUAAUAAGAACGGUGGGAACUCUCAUCUGAUAGGUUAUGCCACCUUAUCUACCCUCAACUGACAGGUAUUGAUGUCUCAACCUAUGCUGGCUACAUAGUUCUGAAAUGCAAGGACUGCUUCUAAGAAUUACACCCUCUACUGGCAGGUGAGUUCCCAUCCUUGGGUUGGCUCGGUGCUGAAUUCUACUCCCUACUGAAAGACACUAAAUUGAUUAUACUGGACUGAUUUCCUAGUUCAUACUAGAAUUAACUGAACUUUUACUGAUUAUUAUGUUUAACUGAACUAAACAUGGACUGAGUUUAUUGAGUUUCGAUGACUAGCGGAUAUAAUACCCCGCAUGUUUCUAAUCCUGUGAUUCAUACUUGAGUACAUGACUUACAAUGAAUAUCCUACUGGUAAGAUAGCUUAUGAUGCAUUAAGUAUGUUCAUAUGAGUCACUCGAGGUAAUACAAGCUAAGAGUUUUUGAAUCCAUCAAGUUUUAGUGUUCGAUUUUUCAAGGGUCAUCUUUGAACGAGUAUAACUCAAUGUUAUUGGGUAUUUUGGCUGAUUUAGACCCACCAAGUUGUAUAAAAUCAAAUUAGCUUUUCAACGAUACCAAUUUUGCAUUAAUCCAAUACCCGAGUGAAAAGUUAUGUCCAGUUUUGUGAGAGACAGUAAGCAUAGGCGAUUGGUUAGGCGCCGCCUAACCCAAGCAUAGGCGAUUGGUUAGGCGCCGCCCAACCCAGGCAUAGGCGAUCACUUGGGCGCCGCCUAAUCCAAUUCUAGGUGUCAAAAACACUCUGUCUUGAGUUAUUUUAAACGUAAUUAAGUCUUUAAAUACUCCUUACACGUCCCUAAACUUAACCCUACGAAAUAUAUAUCUUCUAAAUAUAAUGCAACCCUAUUUUCAUCUCAAAGCUCAUCAUCCAAGAGCAGUAAAGGAGAAAAACAACUAGGGUUGCAUAAUUAAGCUUGAAGAUCCGAUUUCAAGAAAAUUCCUCCGUCAGUCAUCAAGAAUCUUCCUUCUAAGGUAUGCGUAGUGUUCAUCUAUGGAUUUGGAAACAUGUAAAUUUGGUUGUUCAUGAUGUAUAAUUUGAUGAUUUCACCUAUGCUUAAGAUUUUGCAUGUAAGGUGUUUGAUAAAAUGCCUAAGGAACUAGAAAUCAUGCAAUAUAGCUAAAUUGUGACUAAGUGAAGGAUUCAUGAUAUGCCCUUACAUUUCAAUGACUUCUAUGAUUGAUAAUGUGCCUUGUAAAUAUUGUUGGAAUACUUAUGAACUAUUCUUAUGAGAUUAUGCUAUGUUUACUUGCAAAUCCUACUUAUGAACAAAGUGUAUGAUAACCAUGCAAUCCUCAUGAACUUCCACGCUAUUAGUAUGCGUUGCCAAUAUGAUUAUGCAAUGAACAUGAUAUUAAUAUUGUGCAAGUACUUCCAUGUGAUAUGAAAUCCUUUCCAUGCAAUACAUUGUUGAUAACCAUGCUUAGUAUGAGAUCCCUACUUAUGAUAUUAUAUAUUAUGGACUCUACUCUUAUGAUCAAGUCAGUCAUUUGUGUCAGUCUCCUUCUAUCAAGUCCUGGGGGUACUUGUACCCGAAAACUAUAGUUUUGUGCCUAGAUUCAUGUCAUGUUUCACUAUAUCCGAACUCAAGCUAUGAUUCCAUAGACUUCAGUCAGUUAUGUAACUCAGGAAAACCUCAUGAUCUUAGUCAGUUGUCAGAUAUCAGUAACAUUCCGCCAGUCAACGGAAUUCAGUAAGAUCAAGUCAUGCAUAGUUAGUUAUUCAUGUCCAGUCCCUCUAGAUUGGAGUACAGGUUAGCACCGAGUGAACCCAAGGAUAGGAACUCACCCUCCAGUUCAGGGUGUGAUUCUUAGUAGCAAUCCUUGUGUUCCAGAACUACGUAGCCAGCGUAGGUUGAGACAUAUUAACCCGUUAGAUUAGGGUUGAUAAGGUGGCUUAACCCGUUAGUUUAGGGUUCCCACCAUUCUCAUUGAGUACCUCCCAGAUAAGGGUCACUCACAGUUAUCCUUACCAGUGGUGCGGUAUUGACAUCCCUCCAGUCGGGGCAGAGAUUGGACCUCAGCUUAGCCAUAACAGCAUACAUGAGGCAUGUCGGUUAAACACUACUUUCCCACAGUUUCAGUAUCAGUCUCAGUAAAAGAACUCAGAUAGUUCUUCAGAUUUCAGUAUAUACAGGACUGUCAGAUACAGUCGUCCAUGUUAUCAGUUUCAGUAUCAAUCAUGACUGUUAUCAGUAAACCAUGUAUUAGCUUACAGGUCAUGCUAUCACGUAUUCAUGGUCCCAGUUUCUAUAUAUGUGUGUUUGCACUCCCACGCUCAUAUUAGUCAGUCAGUGUUGUUCAUGUAUAAAACCCUUUAUGUUCAGCCUACCUUCCUCAUAUACUCAGUACUCCAGUUGUACUGACACAUUUGUGCUAUGGUGCUUUCUUUUCAUGUUACACCAUAGGUUCCGAGACACAAGCUCCAGCCCAGCAGUAGCAGUAGCGUUCCAGUCGCAGAGACACAGUGAGUCCUCAUUGAUUCGAGGACCAUAUGAUCUGAUUCAUUCAUUUAUUCUUCAGUUCAGUUUUAUGGAGUUAGUUAGAGACAUGUUCCUUCAACUCCUUAUUCAGACAGUUUAGAGGCUUUCGGAUUUACUUUCAGAUUUACGUCCAGAUUUAGUUAUUUUGGGUAUUUUCACCCACAUGAUUGUAUUCAGUUGAACCUUAUGGCCUUACAGUUCCAUGUAUUCCACAUUAUUAUAUCAUGAUUUGCAGUAUACAGGUACAGAUAUCAGUCAUGGGUUAGCUUGUGGUCCCUCAGGGUCAUGAGCACCUUGUAGCAUUUCGAUUCAGUGAAUCGGGGUGUUACAGCAUAACACUACUGAAUUCUGUUAAUUGACUAAAUGCUACUGAGUUCUGUGAGCUGACUGAGUUUAUUGAUGUCUGAACUGAAUACUGAACUAAACUGUACUGAUACUGAGAUUUACUAAAUUCCAUAGACUGAUGGAAUAUUACUGAGAUUACGUAGAUUACUGAGUAAUAAGUAAAACUGAACUGAUACUGCCUUUACAUGAGUUUUCCUGAGUCAUGAGACUGACUGAAGUCUACUGAACAUGGCUUGACUGAGAGUAUCGUGAAAACAUGACAUGGCUCUAGGCACCCAGCUAUAUUUUUCGGGUACAAAUACCCCCGGGACUUGAUGGAAGGAAACUGACACAUUAUGAAAAGUCUUGAUCAUAGGACUAUAGUCCGCAAUUCAUAAUACCAUAAGUUGGGGAUUUCAUGAAAUCACUUGAUAAUCAUAAUCUUGUACAUGAAUAGGAAUGUAUCCUAACAUAUCAUAAUUUCACAAUUUUAAUUUCACUUGCAUGACAUGAACUUGUAUACAUGCUAACAUAAUGUAGUUUCAUCACUUAACUUUCAUAAACCAUUUGUCAAACACUUGCAAGACAUAGCAUCAACAUGGAAAUCAUUUAGAUCAUGUAGUAUUAACAUGAAUUCAUUAUUUAGAUCACAAUGGAUCACAAGGCACAAUUCAUUCACUUGAACAUUUUCACAAACACAUGAAAGGCAUAAUUUUAUACCCAGGCAUAUAUAACAUGCUCCCAAUUCAUGACCCUAACCACCAAUUCACAUCUCAAGAUUUUCAACAUAUGAUGGUCAUGAUUCAACACACAUGGGAAACAUUGAUAUUUCAUUCAUCAAUUAACAUAUAUCAAUAUUAUGGGUAUAACAUCCAACUUGCAAAUCCCAAGAACUCAACAUAAAUCUCAUAUGAAUAGUACCACAAAUAAAUUAGUUUUCAUGAUUCUUGAAAUAACUCAUGGAAUUAAAACUCAACUUAACAUCAACAACAUGAUUAUAAACAUCCCACAACAAAAUAUUCAUGAUACAUAACUUAAAACUUAAUUCUUGAGCUCCAUGGAUGAAAAGAAUCCAUGAAUGAACACUAUGCAUACCUUAGAUUGAUUAUCCGUGAAAGUUAACGGUGAAAUUGGCUUGAAUCUUGAAACCCCCAAUUCAACCCUUACUUGUUCUUGAUAAUUUUUUACAGAAUUUGAGAAAAAGGGAGAAUAUUCUGCUCUAAAUUAGUCUUAAUGCCGUGUUUGAGCAUAUAUAUAGGAUGGAAAAAGACUAAAAUACCCCUAGAGAAAGAGAGAAAGACACAGCUGUCCUAUGUUGUUUUCAGGCUGAUAGGUUGAAGUAAAUUGAUCAUAACUAUUUUCUUCGAUGUUUAAAUUGGAUGAAACCAAUUGCAAUGGAAAGAGGACUCAAAGAGCUUUUCAUAGAUAUAUAGCAGCUCUCACAGUUCAAAAUAUUCAAGAAGUUAUGAUCGUUUGAAGUUGACCCUGAAAUGCUGAAAAUUUCUGGAGCAUGCUAUAGAGCAUGCGACGCAUGUAAAUCGCAUGGUGCUUCUGUUUUGAAAUCCAAACACGCCCUAAACGGAUUCCAAAAAUUUUGAAACUCACUCGAAACGUACUCUUGACUUUCCCGAUCACAAUGCAACUUGAAAAUCCAAAAAUGGAGGUCGGAAAGGUCGUCAAAUAAAUCCCCGAAGUUCGGAGGUAUAAGAUGAAACUAAGUGUUUCUAACACUUAGCAAAAUUCUUCUAAGUGUUGGAUUUCCUUAUCAAGCCUUAAGGAGUUGAAUUUGGCUUAGGAUUUUUUUACGGGGUCUUACAAUAGGGGAUCCCAUCUUCCCCAUUACUCUUCAUACAAGCAACUAUCACAUAAACACUUCGAAAGAGAGUCAAAGAAAGCCUCAACUUGCCUAAAAAGAAGUCUGAAAAGUAAAAUUGAAGCUUUGUCAAGUCGAAGAGCCCCAUAAUGAGCUCAAUUUGACCAGAUGUGUAUUCUACAUAAAAUGAAACCAUGACAUGCAUAUUGUUAUUUUUAAAUUCUGGAUCAAAAAGUCAAUUCAAAAGUUAAUACCUAGCGCACAAGGGCAAAAUUGAAAUUCUAUUUGAAAAUCACGUUAUCCAUAACUUAUGGAGCUCAAAUAUGAAAUUUCAUUGGAAAAAGAGUUAAAAUCAACCUUCAAAUAUCAAAAUACCAUUUUUAAAAAUUUUACCCUAAAAUUCCCAAAUUUUCCAUUUGAAAAACAAAAUUUGAAGAGAAAAGCGUAAAUAAUACAUUGGAGAAUGAAUAAAAGUAACAUAAGAAUCAUAAUCAAGGAAGAAAUCUCAAAAAUCAUCUUUCGAAUCUCUAAUAAAUAAGUAUCGAAGCUUCAAAUUUGAGUUAUGGGGUUUUAGAUCAAAUUUGAAAUUCAAAUCUGUCCAGCUACAGUCCUUCAUCGCGAUCAUGGGGGACCGUCGCAAUCAUGAUCUAACCCAACUCGGACCCUUCACGACCAUGAGGGUCCUUUUUUUACUUUUGUUAUGGAAAAAUGCCAAAGGUUUACUAAUAAGCAUAAGGGUGAAUAAUAAUAACAAACUUAAUCUAGGAGCCAUUUGGUUCUUAAACUAACUAUACACAAAUUAAUGUAAUACAUUAUGUACAUUUUAAAUUUUGUGAAACUUCUUUCAUAAACAAAAUGUGAAUGAAUCAACAUGAUGAAGAAGCGAGUGGGCAAGUUUAAGAAGAUAUGAGAGGGAUAUUUGUACCUACUUCAGAAACUAGAAGAGAAUGCAUAAGGUAACGACCCAUUUCGUCCUGUUUCACUUUUACUGUCUAUUUAUGUGAUGCACGUAACCAUGUAUACGCUUACAGAUAUUUGAGAUGUGUUGCAGUGAUGUGUUAGAUUUAAGCAGGAAAGAGCUAAGGCCAAUGAUGAUGUUGCAAGUACGUCUAUGAUACGAGUGAAGAGGGAAAUGUGGUUCAGUACCAACCUAAGGUGUGGCUAUCACAAACGGCAUCAAGGUGCCUAUCUUCAAGACAAAUGACUAUCAACAUGGAGUUUAUUGUAUGGAGCACUUCAAGAGUGUACUGAUAUCAAAGAGUUGAGUAAGCAAGCGAAUAAGAGGAUGAGCAUAACCGUUAACAUUUCAUGCUAGCCAUUAGCCAUGGAUAUGAUGGAACUGGUGUGUGAAUAGUUUCCAUAAAAGGAAUCUGUUGUGUUUGUCAAAUGGGAAUUUAAGGAUUACUCAACCUACAGAUGCUAUAGGAGAGAUAGAACAAGUCAUCUAGUUGGUUGUCUCUGAGAUUCAAAAGAAGUAAAGCAAGGUUUCAAAACGAUUAUAGUAGUUGUAAAUUGCUUAUAGUCCUACCAGGAUAAGUGGUGCCUCUGAAUAGAAUCCGUAAAAUAAGUAUGCCAGUCGUGAACAAUUUAAAUUGCUCUUCACACAGCUCCGCGUAAUUCAAGAGCUCAUCAAACUGGUCAAAGAAAUCAUGCACAGUUCCCCUUUGUCAUAACUAAUAAAUUCUACUAUAGUCUUAGCAUAUUGCAGAUUCAAAUCUGUGGUACAUUGCUCAUAUUUACUCAUACCGAGUAGGAAGUUCACCGGAGAAACACCACUCAAGAUGCAUCUGAUUGCAUUGUAGUGUCUUCCCUUCAAAUGCAGCUGACCCAUCUCACAUCCAAGGGAGUAUUAUCAAUCUCAAAGAACAGCUCAUACCAAUACACCCAUCUACCCUUUGCAAUUUAUGAGUGUCUCAAUUGGUUUACAACAAGACCCCACUUUGUGUGAAUACACUGGGUAUGCUGUUGUUGUAAUAGUUGUCAAUUGGUUUACAACAUAGAACAGCCAUAAUAGGUAAAUCUAUUAAUAAGUUACCUACAGCCCAACUCCCUCUGCCCUAUUCUUCACUUACCUAUCAACUAGUAUUUGGUGUAUACCCUUUACACUUGGUCCUUGACAAAGUUCAGAAAGGUUGGUUGUCAAUGUAAAGUCACCUCUACAAAGAUCAUAUAAAUCACAGCAGCAACCCACUCCAAACACUAAACUCCUACUCUAGUAACUCCUUACUCAAAAAGUUAGCAAAUGUGAAUCUUGCUUGUAUCUGUCAUUACUUCCAUUCUUGCUUUUACUAUGCAUCUAUUUAAUUCAACAGAGCACAUGGAUUUUUGCAUGGAAAAAGUUAACUAUUUUCUGGUCUCAACUUCUUUUCCCACUCCUUAAGCCUAACUUCAGCCCUGUUCGGCAGUGACGCACUUUUAAACUCCAUAUGAGAACUGCAGUACUAUUUGCAUUGAAAAGCAUUUGCAAAUGGUGAUCAGAAAGGCUAGGUGACAUUCAGCACUUCUUACGGUGUCAAUAAUAGGUGACCAGCUUAUGAGUUAUUUUACAAUUGAACUCCAUUUCCCUUUCCAAAUCUGCUAUUUGAAGUUGAACAGCCAACACCUGACAAGAUUUCAUUAUACUCUUUCACAAGUGUUGAUGAAUAUGUAUGAGACAGGACAGCAACUCAAAACAACUCAGGAGUCCAAUCUUCCAUGCAAAUUUUCUGUAACCAACAUUUGUAGCAAGGAGCUAAACCAAUCCUUAACAGGGGAAAAUGAUUUGAAACACAGAUGCGUGAGCGCAGCAAAAUUUUCAUCAAUCAGAGGGACCACCAGCUGACCAGCAAACUGCCCCUCAACACAACAAUAGAUAGGGAUCAAAUGUACAGAUGGUUUAAGACAGAUACUGAUGGUUAGUUAAUAGAAAGAGGGAGGGUGGUAGAGGACAGAGAAGCUUUUGAAGAGCAACUUUCCGAUCAAGAGAUAGCAAUCAUUCCACAAGCCAAACCCCAAAAUCAUUUCUCCCAAAACCAAACCAAAAAGGAACCUUUUUCCUCGUCCUAAUACACAUUAGAGCUAUUAUUCCACUUCAGAAGCACGACAGUGCAUUAAUUUUCCAAACACAGAUGACGAAAAUGGCAAGAACAACUCCCAUUUGAUUCACCCUUAACCUCAACAAACACACAAAACUAUGAACUAGAAGAGGAUCCUUGAAGCUUCUUUCCCUUUUCAAUAUGACUUUAAAUGAAGGACAUUAAAAAGAAUCACUGACAUAAAGGGCAACAAAAAUCAUACAUACCAGAUAUAGAAAUCACCAUAUAUAUCUGAAGAACAGUUACUAACGAUGGUCAUUCUGCCAGAUUUUUGCUAUACAUGCACCACACAAAGAAGGAUUUUAAGUAGCAUUUCACUUCACAAUUGUAACUAUCAACAACAACAACAACAACAACAUACCCAGUAUAUUCCCACACAGUGAGGUCUGGGGAGGGUAAAGUGUACGCAGUCCAUACCACUACCUCAGAGGUGAGAUAGAGAGGUUGUUUCUGAAAGACCCCCGGCUCAAGAUAAAAACAUUCUAGAGAAGGAUUUAAUAUAAGAAGAAAAAAUAGGUAGAAACAAACAACACACAAUAGUAAGUUAUUAGUUUAAAAAAAAAAAAAAAAAAAGGCAACAGCAAAAAUAAGUCUACCACAAAAUAGAACUACACACGACCUAUUGGAAACAACAAACAACACCGAAAUCUAUGCCAAGACACUACAAGCAAAGCAUUACGAUAACUUACACGGAAAACAAGAUAAAGCGCACCUACCUACUAGCACAAUUGUAACUAUCAACUAUAUUAUUCAAACAACUGUAGCAUUCUCAGUCCCUAUAAAUCAAACAAUGCAACAACAACAAACCUAGUGUAAUUCACCACAAGUGGGGUCUGGGGUGGGUAGGAUGUACUCAGACCUUACUCUACCUUUGUGGAGUUGAUAGGAUGAAUCGGAAAGACCCUCAGCUCAGCAGGGUUGCAAGACAAAUAUGACAUCAAGAUAGCAAGAUACACAUGUAGCAACAGAGUGUAGAAAUCUAGUUUAAUACUAAUUGCUUUUAGAGUGUAAAGAAGGAAAAGUUCAUUGAUUUAAGUGACUAAAAGGAUGAGAUUAGGCUGAACUCUAAGUUAACGGUUACGUAGAUAUGUGCAGAAGACUGGAUGAUAUUUGGCUGAACUCUAAGUUAACGGUUACAUACAUUUGUGCAGAAGACCAUUAUUCAUCUCCUUCACAGUGUGUCACUCAGUUUGAGGCUUUGACUUGAGGCUCUCCAUACUUAAAA
rnacentral:lncRNA from 1 species